CCGCCACCCCUUCCCCAUCUGAGGGCUGCCGCACCCCUUAGGGGUGGGAACCCUAAGGGCUGCGCCCCCUCCCUCUCCCCCUAUAUAUAGAUGAGGUCCGGGGUUGUUUGAGACACGGUUUAAUCUCUCUCUCGCAUCCCUGCUUCUCUCCCUCCUCCUCUCUGCCGGCGCUUUGGCGAAGCCUUGCCGGGAGACCUCGUCUCUCCACCAACACCACGCCGUCGUGUUGCUGGUCUUCUUCCUCAACCUCUCCCUCCUCCUUGCUGGAUCANNNNNNNNNNNNNNNNNNNNNNNNNNNNNNNNNNNNNNNNNNNNNNNNNNNNNNNNNNNNNNNNNNNNNNNNNNNNNNNNNNNNNNNNNNNNNNNNNNNNGGAUGGUACAGAAACACCAGAGGCUUGACUCGUUGAGUUGGGUCGCUACACCUAAACAGCUGAAUAAUGGUGAGUACCACAUUUUUACCACCAACGGCUGCAAAAAGGAUAGGGAGCGUAAGUAGACAUCCAUCAACAUGAUUGAGCCAACAUUCCCUAGAUAUCUCAACUCGUCCGAGCAACCAAUUGUUUGGAGCCAUGAGGAUCAACCGCCUCGGGUUGAUAACCCGGGAGAUCUAGCUUUGGCAGUAGCACCUCAGGUUGGUGGAUACACCCUCACAAAAGUCCUCAUGGAUGGAGGGAGCAGCAUCAACAUUUUAUAUUAUGACACUUUCCGGAGGAUGAACCUGCAGGACAACACUUUGCAAACUUCGUCCAUAGUUUUUUGUGGAAUCAUUCGUGGGAAGUCAGCAUGCCCAGUUCGGCGGAUCAAGCUUAAUGUUGCUUUUCGGGAUGAACAUAAUUCCAGAUGUGAGCCCCUAAUGUUUGAGGUGGUGAAAAUAAAGAGUCCUUAUCAUGCUCUCUUUGGAAGGCUGGCUUAUGCCCGGUUCAUGGCCCGUCCUUGUUAUAUCUACCUUAAGCUCAAUAUGCUGGGUCCUAAAGGCACCAUAAUAGUGGGAGGUAGAAUAAAGAUAGCUCAAGAAUGUGAGGAAGGAGAUGUUGCUUAUGCUGAGUCGGCCUGUGCUACUGAAAAGAUAAAAUCCCUCACAGACAACUCUGGUAAAGCUUCUCUCAAGUAAGCCACCAGUUUGAGUAAUCCAACCCGGCCAAUUUCUUUUUGCCCUAUCACACUAGGAGCUACCGUCUCAUUAUCUUUUGUACCAAUCCCCAAAUUCUGUACAUACUUCUAAAAUAUUUGAAUCUAAUAAAGCUUGCUUUUAGCAAAAUUGAGCAUGAGUUUUUUACCACCCAGUAUGUUAGCUGGGGGCUUCAAAGUUCAAAUAAAUUAUUAUGGUCAAUAAAAUUAAGUCGGCUUAUCUCGGUGCUACCUGCCCCGAGUUGUUUAGCAGUAAUAGCAUUGUCUUCUGCAAUCCUAUGUCAGGCCUUUCUAUUUUGAUAAUAGGUCACUUGGAGGCUUCGAACUCAAAGAGUUCAGCCUCUUACCCUCUUGAUCGUCAAAGACGCCACAAAAUUAUUAAACCUGUUGGUAUUUUUUGGCGACUCUGAAGAAGGUGACUCUGUGUACUCUUGAUUGAUCAUUCCAUUAUGGACCCUGAAUCGGCAAGGUUAAAACAUGGGUAUAUCAUGUGAGAACUGACAUGUUGAAAGCUAGGAUAAAUCUUGGGUUAUUAUGCCUGCUUCGUUGAACCAAGUCUAGGCCUCAAAAGUUAACAUUUUAUUUUUAACCGCGUCUCACUAAGCCGGUUUGCGAGUCUUGACUAAUACUCUGCAUGAUAUAUUAUUUUUUAGAAACUUUUUGUAGAGAGUACCAUUUAAAAACUAUCAUAAAAACAUGAUUAUUACAUGUUCCAAAUAUUUUGUUUUUAAAUAAAUUUUAUUUUCUCCUGCAAUAAUGGCGUAAGGAGAUGGAACAGCGUUACCACAUCAUCAUGGAAAACCGGGUCAUAAGAGAUAUAGCUAUAAAGUUUCUGAUGGUUGGCUGAAAUAAACACGCUCGAAGGCGUGACCACAUGCAUCUCAGAGUUGUCGCUACCCUAUUACAGACUCACAUCAAGAGUCAUCAAAAUCCAAAAAGGAAUUUACCAGAAGAUAAAGUUUUUAUGAUAGGCGAGUUAUUUAUGACCCACCAUCAGUUUACGCCGUUGGCACAUUCCGCACCCGAUUCUUCCGACUCGUCGUCAUCAUCAAUAUGAUCCUGGCCUUGUUGGAUCCACCGAAUUGAUCUCGGAGAUUCAAAAUCUGAAGCGGUCCCAGUUGAAGUAGAAGAUCUGAUGUUAGAAUCCGUCUUUUUCUCAUAAUGAGGUGGAAUGAGCUCCAGAUGCUCGUCUUUAGGUACUAGAACACGCUCAUUAUCAGUGGUAUAUGUCGGGUGAUACGUCUCAAAACGUAUCUAUAAUUUUUGAUGGUUUCACGUUGUUAUCUUGUCAACUUUGGAUGUUUUAUUACCUUUUAUAUCUUUUUUGGGACUAACUUAUUAACUCAGUGCCAAGUGCGAGUUCCUGUUUUUUCUAUGUUUUUGACUCUUUUCAGAUCUGAUUUUGGAACGGAGUCCAAAUGGAAUAAAAUCCCCGAAAUGAAUAUUUCCAGAAUGGAAGAAGAUUGGGAGGCUUGAGGCCAAGCAAGUGGGCCCACAGGGGGCCCACAAGCCCUGUUGCCGCGACCAGGGGGGAGGCCGCGGCAACCAAGCUUGUGGCCUCCCUGGCGCUCCCCUGCCCUAGGUCUUUGGCCUAUAAAUUCCCUAAAAAUCCAGAAAAAAUCAGGGCGUCCACAAAAACACUUUUCCGCCGCCACAAGCUUCCGUUUCCGCGAGAUAUCAUCUGGAGACCCUUCCCGGUGCCCUGCUAGAGGGGACUUUGGAGUUGGAGGGCUUCUUCAUCAACAUCAUCGCCCCUCCAAUGACUCAUGAGUAGUUCACUUCAGACCUACGGGUCCGUAGUUAGUAGCUAGAUGGCUUCUUCUCUCUCUUGGAUCUUCAAUACGAAGUUCUCCAUGAUCUUCAUGGAGAUUUAUCCGAUGUAAUCCUCUUUGGCGGUGUGUUUGUCGAGAUCCGAUGAAUUGUGGAUCUGUGAUCAGAUUAUCUAUGAUAUAUAUUUGAGUCUUUGCUGAUUUCUUAUAUGCAUGAUUUGAUAUCCUUGUAAGUCUCUCCGAGUCUUGGGUUUUGUUUGGCCAACUAGAUCUAUGAUUCUUGCAAUGGGAGAAGUGCUUGGUUUUGGGUUCAUACCGUGUGGUGACCUUUCCCAGUGACAGAAAGGGCAGCAAGGCACGCAUCAUGUUGUUGCCAUCAAGGGUAACAAGAUGGGAUUUUAUCGUAGAUAUGAGAUUGUCCAUCUACAUCAUGUCAUCUUGCUUAAGGCGUUACUCUGUUCUCAUGAACUUAAUACACUAGAUGCAUGCUGGAUAGCGGUCGACGUGUGGAGUAAUAGUAGUAGAUGCAGAAAGUAGCGGUAUACUUGUUUUGGAUGUGAUGCCUAUAGAUAUAAUCAUUGCCAUAGAUAACGUCACGACUUUGCGCGGUUCUAUUAAUUGCUCGACAGUAAUUCGUUCAUCCACCGUCUACUUGCUUUCAUGAGAGAAGCCACUAGUGAACACUACGGCCCCCGGGUCUCUUCACACCUAUCGUUUCCACUUUUGCUUUUACUUUGCUUUGUUUCUUUGUUGCUUUCAGUUCUCACUUGGCAAACAAUCUAUAAGGGAUUGACAACCCCUUCAUAGCGUUGGGAGCAAGCUCUUUGUGUUUGUGCAGGUACUUGUGAUAUUCCUUCAUUGGAUCGAUACCUUGGUUCUCAAAAUUGAGGGAAAUACUUACCGCCGCUGUGCUACAUCACCCUUUCCGCUUCGAGGGAACACCAACGCAAGGCUCCAAGGCCACGGGGGAAUCCUUUGCAUAUUUGCCUAGGAAGUCCCUAAAGGCGUAGCCGUAGCAGAAGGAUUCCUGGUGCCGUUGGUGAGGAGUAUCAAGGCAAGAAUAGUCUCCCGUCAGCACGCUUGUUUCUGGCGCCGUUGGAAGGUCUUUUGUUGCAGUAGCACCGGGUAAUGAUGAGAGGUAUCAACCAGCUCUGCCAGAAUGGUUGCAAGGGGUCGGGUCUCCUUCAUGACACGAGCUAACGGGGGGAUAACUCCGGAGUAGGCUCAUCAAGCCUACUCCUCUAUACUUCAGUGUAGAGAGGGGCGAAAGCUUCCUCAAUGACCGGCUCCUCCUGGCCGGCUAUAAAGUCCAUGCUGCCUAAGAGCGUAGCCGUCUACUCUCUGGCCGGCUGGCUAGCCGCCAUCUGGCUGAAGGGCACCUGUCGCAUCGAUCCCCAUGAUGUGACGGGGCCUUCGAUUAAAGGCGAAAGUACCUCAGCACGGGUACGAUGGAGAAGCAUACACAUGGCUACCGUGGCGGCGGCCGUACUGCUAACCGGUGCCGGCUCCGACCCAUCAACAGUGUAAAGUACCCGCAUGCCACUACCAACUCCAUUACCUGGCCCGGCGUGGCUACAGUAGAGACGGCCGUACCGCUGACCGACGCCGGAUCCUGCAAGACGACGUCCGUCGUACCGCACGCACCCUGCAUUGGGAACACGCACCAAUCCAAUAGGCUAGCCGGUGGGUCCCAGGGCCAGAUGGGACCUUGCAGCCGCCGGGCCUCUCGAGCGACAAGACUAAUCCUCAAUGGCCCCCCUAGCCGGCCUGAGAGGCUGCCAGCCGACCCCCCCUAUUGUACCUAUUAUCCAUUUUGUAGGCCGGUGGGUUCGUCUAUAACCCCCCGGCCCCCCUCCAUGCAGAGGGCCAGCCAUUCUCACACCCACACACAUCACACAGGAGAGGCAGAUAGCGAGCCGGCUGCUCCUUCUUCCUCCUCCAUCGAACAGCUCAAGGAGCAUUUUGUAAUCACCUUGGUUCAUCAGCCAUUCCGAUAGGACUAGGGGUAUUAUCUCCCAUGGAGAGCCCCGAACCUGGGUACAUCGUGUGUCUUGCAUUAUUAGCUACCAAUCUCGUUCCCGGAGUCCACCGGUGUCCCUUCAGUCCCAACCACUCUCGAUAAGCCUACCCAUGGCAUUUGUCGUGAGAAAACGACGAUAGUUGGCGCCCACCAUGGGGCCGUCUGCGGCACCGGUCUGAGUUACGCUCGGGCGGGACCCUUCGCCAACCCUACCGGAUGCCUCGCGUCUCGACUGAUCAGCACACCCAUGGAGGCUGCCCCUGCGGAGGUUUCUGUGGUGUUGAUCGACAACUCAGCCCGUCUCGUCGGCUCUGCCAUUGAGAUCACCAACGAGCCUCUCGGUGACGGCGUUGCCCCUGACGUCGCUCGCCUCUGCGUUCUCUUCGACAACCUACGCCUCGAUGAUGAGCCUCGCCAACUUGGCAGGGACAUCGACAUCGAUGCCCUCUGCACACACUUCAACAAACUCAGUCUCGAAGAUGCUCCUGCACACGACGAGUACCUGAUACGUCUCCAACGUAUCUAUAAUUUUUUAUGGUUCCAUGCUAUUAUAUUGUCAAACUUUGGAUGUUUUGUAUGACUUUUAUAUCUUUUUUGGGACUAACUUAUUAACUCAGUGCCAAGUGCCAGUUCCUGUUUUUUCCGUGUUUUGACCCUUUUCACACGAGAAUAUUAAAUGGAGUCCAAACGGAAUAAAACUUCCGAAAAGAUGUUUUCCGGAACAGAAGAUACGCAUGGGGCAUGAGAACCAAGGCAGAGGCCACCAUGGGAGGCCACAAGCCCCCUAGGCGCGUCCAGGGGGACCUGCGCCUAGCAGGCUUGUGGCCCCCCUGUGGCUCGUCUGCCCUACUUCUUCCGCCUAUAAAUCCUCGAAAAAUCCAAAACCACGAGAGAGAUCGACGAAAAUACUUUUCGGCCGCCGCAAGCUUCUGUCCCCGCAAGAUCCCAUCUGGGGCACGUUCUGGUGCCCUUCCGGAGGGGGAUUCGGAUACGGAGGGCUUCUUCAUCAACACCAUUGCCUCUCUGAUGAUGCGUGAGUAGUUCACCCUGGACCUUCGGGUCCAUAGCUAGUAGCUAGAUGGCUUCUUCUCUCUCUUGGAUCUUCAAUACAAAGUUCUCCAUGAUCUUCAUGGAGAUCUAUCCGAUGUAAUAUUCUUUUGCGGUGUGUUUGUCGAGAUCCGAUGAAUUGUGGAUUUCUGAUCAGAUUAUCUAUGAAUCUUAUUUGAGUUUCUUCUGAUCUCUUAUAUGCAUGAUUUCAUAUCCUUGUAAUUCUCUUCGAGUUGUGGGUUUUGUUUGGCCAACUUGAUCUAUGAUUCUUGCAAUGGGAGAAGUGCUUAGUUUUGGGUUCAUACCGUGCGGUGACCUCACCCAGUGACAGAAGGGGUGGCGAGGCACGCAUCGUGUUGUUGCCAUCAAGGGUAAAAGGAUGGGGUUUAUAUCUAUUGCAUGAAGUUAUCCAUCUACAUCAUGUGAUCUUUCUUAAGGCAUUACUCUGUUCGUCAUGAAUUCAAUACACUAGAUGCAUGCUGGAUAGCGGUCGAUGUGUGGAAUAAUAGUAGUUGAUGCAGAAAGUAUCGGUCUACUUGUCUCGAAUGUGAUGCCUAUAUGUAUGAUCAUUGCCUUAGAUAUCGUCAUGACUUUGCGCUGUUCUAUCAAUUACUCGACAGUAAUUUGUUCACCCACCGUAAUAUUUGCUAUUUUGAGAGAAGCCUCUAGUGAACACUAUGGCCCCCGGGUCUACUUCACAUCAUAUUUUCAGCCUUACACUUUUACUUCAUUGCACUUUCCGCCUUCAGAUCUCACUUUGCAAUUAAUCUUGAAGGGAUUGACAACCCCUUUAUAGUGUUGGGUGCAAGCUCGUUUGUGUUUGCGCAGGUACUCUGGACACUUGGCUUGAUUCUCCUACUGGAUUGAUACCUUGGUUCUCAAACUGAGGAAAAUACUUACUGCUACUAUGCUGCAUCACCCUUUCCUCUUCAAGGGAAAAACGAACGCAAGCUCUAGAGGUAACAAGAAGAAUUUCUGGCGCCGUUGCCGGGGAGGAUCAUGUCAAGAAUAGUCUCCCGUCAACGUGUCAAUUUCUGGCACCGGGGAUUAUUCUAAGUGAAGCUUAUCCAAGUAAGUGUCGCAAACUCAUCUCUUGAAUUUACUUUUUUUUGCCUCUAGUUUUCCUCUCCCCCACUUCUGAAAAAAACAAAAAUUUACAAAAAUAUUUUCCUUUUUCGUUCGCCCUUUUCCUUCGCUUGCUUCCUGCCUGCUUGAGUGGGAUAGUCUACCUUUCCUCAUGGCUAGACCUACCGCUUCGAACGAUACUCCCGAGAGCGAAGUUCUCAAUUUUAAACAAAAUUAGGAAGAAGACUUAAAUGACGCUUGGUAUAGGAUUUGCAACACUCAGAGUAGAUCUACUCGUAAGCAAUCUACUACCGUCCUACUUCGCAGCUUUUAUGUGGGUAUUUACCCUUGGAAUAGGUAUGUUCUUGAUACCAUCGUAGGUGGAAGUUUCUUGGGUAGCCAUACCGUUGAUUCUUACGGUGCUUUGAUAAAUCUGGUAGGCUCACCCCCACUCAUGGUUAAUGGAACCAACUUAACUUUGGAACAUGUGAUGCGUAGGUUGGAUAUCAUUGAAAAUAAAGUUGCUACGAUUGAACUCAUUGAGAAUUUGGAUAAAAAGAUCCACAAUCAAAUCACUCAGUACGGAUCCAAGGUGGGAAUGGCUUUGAAAAAUCUAAAGGAGAGGGAACCCACAGUUAACAAAAACUAGGUCAUCAUUCCGCUAGGAUUGGCAAACUAGAGGAUGUUAUAACCAACUUGGGUUCCGCUUUUGCCGCUGUGCAGAACACUCCAAUUUUUACCCACAAUAAGGCCACCAAGUUUGUUUUUGUUCCUAAAAAUAGUGGUGAACCAUCUAGUAAUAUAGAUGAAGACCUUAAGAUGAUGAGGGCUAUUUAUGGUUUGAGCACCAAAGACGAGGAUAUGUGAUUCUUUCACCUUAUGCCUAGCUAAGGGCGUUAAACAAUAACGCUUGUUGGGAGGCAACCCAAUGAAUUUAUAUUUGAUUUUUGCUUUCUGUUUUGUUGCGUCCACACCAUCAUAAUUCUGUUAUGAUUGUGUCUUUUGUGUUUGAGCCAAGUAAAACCUUUAUGACUAGUUUGGUGAUGGUUGUUUGAUCCUGCUGGAAAAAGACAGAAACUUUUCGCUCACGAAAUUAUUUUUCAUUUUAAUCCAUAAAGAGAUUUUGAGUUGAUUCUUUUUGUUGCUGGUUGAUAUGGCAAUUGCCCAAACUGUCGUAAUGUUUCAGAAUUGUUGAGAUACCAGAAGUAUACGAAGUAUACAGAUUGCUACAGACUGGUCUGUUUUUGACAUAUUCUGUUUUUGUUGUGUUGGUUGCUUGUUUUGAUGAAACUAUGUAUAGUAUCGGGGGGGGCGGGUACUGAUACGUCUCCAUCGUAUCUACUUUUCCAAACUCUUUUGCCCUUGUUUUGGACUCUAAUUUGCAUGAUUUGAAUGGAACUAACCCGGACUGACGUUGUUUUCAGCAGAAUUGCCAUGGUGUUGUUUUUGUGCAGAAAUGAAAGUUCUCGGAAUGUCUUGAAACUUUACGGAGAAUAUUUAUGGAAAAUAUGAAAAAUACCUGUGCAAAGAUCCACCGGAGGGGACGGGCCAGUGGGCCACAAGCCCUGUAGCCGCGGCCUCCCCUCUGGUCGCGGCUACGAGGCUUGUGGGGCCCACGUGCCUCUGCCGCCCCCAAUUCCAGCGCUAUAUAUUCCCUUUCAUCCCGGAAAAAAUCAAGAGAGAAGAGUUCAUUGCGUUUCACGAUCCAGAGGCGCCUCCACAUCCCGUUCUUGCCCUGGAGGGCAGAUCUGGAGUCUGUUUUGUGCUCCGGAUCAAGGAGAUCGUCGCCAUCGUCAUCAUCAACCUUCUUCCCUCUCCAAUUCCAUGAAACUCUUCAUCGUUCGUGAGUAAUCUAUUCAUAGGCUCGCUGGGCGGUGAUGAGUAUGAUGAGAUCUAUCAUGUAAUCGAGUUAGUUUUGACGGGGAUUGAUCCCUAGUAUCCACUAUGUUCUGAGAUUGAUGUUGCUACUACUUGGCUAUGCUUAAUGCUUGAAACUAGGGCCCGAGUGCCAUGAAUUCAGAUCUGAACCUAUUAUGUUGUCACCAAUAUAUGUGUGUUUUAGAUCCGAUCUUGCAAGUUGUAGUUACCUACUAUGUGUUAUGAUCCGGCAACCCCGGAGUGACAAUAACCGGAACCACUCUCAUUGAUGACCAUAGUUUGAGGAGUUUAUGUGUUCACCAAGUGCUAAUGCGUUGGUCCGGUUCUUUAUUAAAAGGAGAACCUUAAUAUCCCGUAGUAUCCAUUUGGACCCCGCUGCCACGGGAGGGAUGGACAAUAGAUGUCAUACAAGUUCUUUUCCCUAAGCACGUAUGACUACACACGGAAUGCAUGCCUACAUCACAUUGACGAACGGGAGCUAGCCACAUAUCUCUCCGUGUUAUAACUGUUGCAUGAUGAAUGUCAUCCAACAAAUCACUGAUCCAUUGCCUACGAGUUUGUCCCACUGCUAUUGUUACUUGCUGCUGCUGUUACUUGCUUUGCUCUGCUGCUGUUACUACGGUUGCUGCUACUGUUACUUGCUUCUACUAUUACUUGCUUCGUCAUGCUGCUGCUGCUACUACUGUUGCUACUACUGUUACUUGCUGUUGCUGUUACUUGCUACUGUUGCUAAUUGCUACUCCUAUCACUACUGCUGUUCCUUGCCACUACUGUUACUCGUUACACUGCUGCUACCUGCUACAAUACUUUUCUGGUGCCAUUGAUACUUCAGUUAGGAAUAAUCUGUCGUCAACAGAUUCUUUCCUAGCACCGUUGCUAUCAUACUACCUUUGCUGCUUAUAUACUGCUUGCAGAUACUAAUCUUUCAAUUGUGUUUGAGCCAACAACUCAACUGCUAAUACUGGAGAAUAUCCUUUCAUUCCCAUCGUGUCGAACCAACAAAUUUGGGUUGAAUACUCUACCCUCAAAACCUGCCGCGAUCCCACACGCUGGUGGGCCAUUGCAAGACAAUUGCUAAUUGUUGAGCAACUGGAAACAACUCUUUUUUGGCACCGUUGCCGAGGAGGAAUAGCUAUAUUCUCUGAGUCACUUGGGAUUUAUAUCUUGUGAUCACUAUGAAGAAUCGGAAAGAUCUGAGAACCAAAGUCUUGCCCUCAACUCUGAGGGGAGGUAAGGAACUGCCAUCUAGCUCUGCACUUGAUUCACCUUCAGUUAUGAGUAAGUUUGCGACACCACCUCGUGCUAGAAAUCUUGAUAUGUCGCGUGUGCUAGAUGAUGCUAGAGAUGCUACUGCUAUUGAUGAUGCUUAUGAUGAUACUAUGCCUGAUACUGCUAGAGAUGCUAUGCGUGAUACUGCUAGAGAUGCUAUGCCUGAUACUGCUAUCCAUGAUGCUAUGCUUGAUGCUGCUUUGCCUGAUGAUGCUAGAGAUGCUAUUUUGCCUGAUUAUGCUAUGCUUGAUACUGCUAGAGAUACUACUUUGCCUGAUAUGCCACUAGGGGUAUUCCUUGAUGCUCAUAUUGCUAGAGUUAUUGCCAAUGCUCGUGAUGCUUCUGAAACUCUCGAUACUAUUGAGAUAGAACCUGCUUUUGCUCCUGCUAGAUCUAGCUCUCCUAGAUAUGAAUUGCCUGAUAUACCUGAGGGUUAUGUUAUGGAGGGAGAGAUAGCUGAGGAUUUUCUUGCGUGUAAGGAUGGCUAUGACGCUGAGAAAUUACUUCUCAAGUGGAAGGAAAAAUCUCUGAAAGCUAGGAUGAAAUACAACCCGAAGUUUGCCACUUCACCUAUCUUUAUCACCGAUGAGGAUUAUGAAUUCUCUGUCGACCCUGAGAUAAUCUCUCUUGUCGAAUCUGAUCCUUUCCACGGUAAUGAGUUUGAGACGGUCGUAGCCCAUCUUACCAAACUACACGAUAUAGCCACCCUUUUCACUAGUGAGGAGAAGAUCCGCUACUACUAUAUCCUUAAGUUGUUUCCUUUCUCUCUAAAGGAUGACGCUAAAUCCUAGUUCACUUCUCUUGCUCCUGGAUGUGUGAGUAGUCCCCAGGAUAUGGUCUAUUACUUCUGUGAGAAAUAUUUCCCUGCCCAUAAGAAGCAAGCUGCCUUGCAGGAAAUAUACAACUUUGCUCAACUCAAAGAAGAGUGUCUCCCACAAGCUUGGGGGAGGCUCAUCCAGCUACAGAAUGCUUUGCCUGAUCACCCUCUUAAGAAGAACGAGAGACUUGAUAUCUUCUAUAACAGACUUACCGAUGCUUCUAGAGACCACCUAGAUAGUUGUGCCGGUUGUGUUUUUAGGGAACGAAUUGUAGAACAAGUUGAGAUCCUACUGAAUAACAUCUUGAUCAACAAUAAUGCUUGGACUAUUCCCGAACCACCUCCUAAGCCAUAUCCCAAGAAAAGAGGUAUUCUAUUCCUCAGUCCUGAAGAUAUGCAAGAAGCCAAGAAAUCUUUGCAAGAGAAAGGCAUUAGAUCUGAAGAAAUCAAAAAUCUACCGCCUAUCGAAGAGAUCCAUGCUCUCGAUAACCCGAUACAAGUAGUAGAGGUGAAUUCUCUGCGUAGAUUCAAUGAGAGUGAUAUUCCUUUUGAUAAACCUGCUAGCCUAUGCUUUGAUGAAUUUGACAACUUUGUUGCCAAACAACAAAGUUUCAAUGAUUAUGUUAGCAGACAAUUGGAACAACGUACUCACAUGCUUAGUCAUUUAAGUGCUUGUGUAGAGAGAAAUGUCAAUGAUCUGAAGCUUCUGAGUAAACAUGCCUCAAUGAUUACUACUCAGGUAGAACAAGUACUUAAAGCUCAGAAUGACGUGCUCAAUGAAUUAAUGACAACUCUGUCAGAGUCAUUACUAGAGGAGGCAAAAUGACUCAGGAACCCUUGUAUCCUGAAGGCCAUCCUAAGAGAAUUGAUCAACAUUCUCAAGGUAUUAAUGCUCAUACACCCAGUCAUCCUAAGAAUAAGAAGAAGGAUGAUAGAAACCUACAUGUCAGUUCACCAAAUACUGUAACACCUGAAGAACCAAAUGAUAUUUCUGCGUCUGAUGCAGAAACACAAUCUGGUGAUGAACAUGAACCUGGUGACAAUAUGGACAGCGAUGUUCAUAAUAAUGCUCAACCUAGCAAUGAUAAGGAUGUGGAGAUUGAACCUACGGUUAAUCCUGAUAACCCACAACCUAAGAGGUACGAUAAGAAUGACUUCACUGCUAGGAGGCAUGGUAAAGAAAGGGAGCCAUGGGUUCAGAGACCCAUGCCCUUUCCUCCUAAGCCAUCCAAGAAAAAGGAUGAUGAUGAUUUUGAGCGCUUUAUUGAAAUGUUGAGACCCGUCUUUCUGCGUAUGCGGUUAAUUGAUAUGCUCAAAAUGUCUCCAUAUGCCAAGUACAUGAAAUAUAUCGUGACCAAUAAACGGAAGAUACCAGAUCUUGAGAUCUCCACCAUGCUUGCCAAUUACACUUCCAAAGGUGGAACUCCUAAGAAACUUGGUGAUCCCGGAGUGCCCACUAUACCUUGCUCCAUUAAAGGAAACUACGUAAGAACUGCCUUAUGUGACCUUGGAGCCGGUGUUAGUGUUAUGCCUCUCUCUCUCUUUAUCGUAGACUUGAACUGGAUAAGUUGACACCCACUGAAAUUUCUCUGCAAAUGGCCGACAAAUCAACUGCUUUCCCUGUCAGCAUUUGCGAGGAUGUGCCUGUUGUGGUUGCUAACGUUGCUAUCUUAACGGACUUUGUUAUCCUGGAUAUUCCUGAGGAUGAUGCCAUGGCGAUCAUUCUUGGAAGACCAUUCUUAAACACUGCAAGGGCUGUUAUAGAUUGCAGCAAAGGCAAUGUCACCUUCCAUGUCAACGGUAAUGAGCAUACAGUGCACUUUCCAAAGAAACGAUAUCAAGUACAUUGCAUCAAUGCUAUCGAAAAAACAUCAUCGAUUCUUAUUGGGAGCUUUGAAUUCCCUAUUCCUCGUGUUAAGAUGAAGUAUGAUUUGCUUGUUGGGGAGAUUCAUGUCCCCAUUGAGGUGACUUAGUGGCUAUUCGACAAUUCUCUGUUUCCUUUUGCGAUUCGAAAAGGUUUUGUCGAGGGGAUUUGAUCAACCCCAUUGACGGAUUUCUUUCGAUGACCAUGAAAUGGAUGAAUCAAGGAGUCACAUACCUCUGUUUUAAGCUUUCACUUUCUGUUGUUUAGAAGGAAAAAUGAUAGAUUUAGUUUAGUUUUUCCUGUUUUCUGUUUUAGCGUCCCAGAGAAAAGUAUCCCGAAAAUAGAAGUUCUACGAUGGCCCUGAAAAUCAAAUAUGAUUUUUUCUGGUUUUUUUGAAAAAUACUGGGACUGAGAGCUGGCCUGGGAGCCACACCAGUGGGCCACAAGCCCUGUAGCCGCGGCCUCCCCUGGCCGCGGCUACCAAGCUUGUGGGGCCCACAGGGACCCCCUCCACUCAUUCUAGCUCCCAUCCUCUUCUUCUACCUCCAGAAAAAAUCGUUUUACAGCUCCAACCCGUGCUCUUGCUCAUUUGGCUGUGAUUUUCGAUCUCCUUGCUCAAAGCACCAUUCUACGAACCGUUUUGGGGAAAUUACUCCUUGGUAAGUGACUCCUCCAUUGGUCCAAUUAGUUACUCUAGUGCUUUAUCCUUCGCGUAUUCUUUCUACCUUGGUGACCCUGUUCUUGAACUUGAAAUGUUGAUUUUAGUUCGUCCCAAGUAGUUUUAACGCGUGAUACGGUCUCUAGGCACUAGUAGGAGUAGUUGCUACAAGGUUUGGUUGGUCUUUAUUCACUUUUCUCUUGAACUUCAAAAAUUUCAGCAAAAAUAAAUUAUGUUUAGGAGGAAGUUUCAUGGUGGUUCCUCAAGUAAGAAGGGUCCCCGUCUUUCUAUUAAGGAGCCCGAUCCUUAUGAACUAAGGGACGCACCGGUACAACCAUGUGAAUGGCCUUCCGAUGAGUUCAUGAUCGAAGCAGGCUUCAAGGAUGAGUUUGAUACACUUGUCCACAAUGCCGAGUUAGAAGAAUUCCUCUCAGAUAAAUGUGAACAGUAUGCUAUGCUCACUGCCUCUUUCAUGCGUAGAUUUAAAUUUUUAGUUGGCCGUGACUCAUCCAUACUGUUUGAUCUGUAUGAUAAAUCCUACACCAUGGAUUUGGAGGAUUUCAAUAGGAUUUGCAAGAUACCCGAUGGGGGUAGUCUUAAUGAUCCUGCUAAGUCUUCGGUUAGAUAUUUUUUUUCUCUAGUAUAACUGUUGGAGAAACUAGAGACAUCACGCAAGCUACCAUAGGAAGCAUUCAUUUCCCUGCCUUGCACUACUUUGCCCUCUUCAUAGGUAGAUGCAUUAACGGCAAGGUUGAACAUUGUCACCUAUGCGCAUCCGACCUUAGUAUCCUUAAGAGCGCAAUAACAGGUGACAGGAGCUUCAACAUGGGAGCUAUAAUAGCAAGGAGGCUGAAUAAUAAUGCCAUUGAUAUUAGUUUACCGUGAGACCUAUGUGUCACUUGCUUAUGUGGUUAACUUGUGAUCUUGCUGAAAUUCUGGUUAUGAGUUAGACAUAGUUGCAACAUCAAGAUCAAACAGAGUUUGUCAAAGUUUUUCGUUCUCUUUUAGUUUGUCAACUGAGUUGCUUGAGGACAAGCAAGGUUUUAAGCGUGGGGGAGUUGAUACGUCUCCAUCGUAUCUACUUUUCCAAACUCUUUUGCAAUUGUUUUGGACUCUAAUUUGCAUGAUUUGAAUGGAACUAACCCGGACUGACGCUGUUUUCAGCAGAAUUGCCAUGGUGUUGUUUUUGUGCAGAAAUGAAAGUUCUCGGAACGUCUUGAAAAUUUACGGAGAAUAUUUCUGGAAAAUAUGAAAAAUACCUGCGCAAAGAUCCACCGGAGGGGACGGGCUAGUGGGCCACAAGCCCUGUAGCCGCGGCCUCCCCCCUGGUCGCGGCUACCAGGCUUGUGGGGCCCACGUGGCUCUGCCGCCCCCAAUUCCAGCACUAUUUAUUCCCUUUCGUCCCGGAAAAAAUCAGGAGAGAAGAGUUCAUCGCGUUUCACGAUCCAGAGGCGCCGCCACAUCCCGUUCUUGCCCUGGAGGGUAGAUCUGGAGUCCGUUUUGGGCUCCGGAUCAAGGAGAUCGUCGCCAUCGUGAUCAUCAACCUUCUUCCCUCUCCAAUUCCAUGAAGCUCUUCAUUGUUCGUGAGUAAUCUAUUCGUAGGCUCGCUGGGCGGUGAUGAGUAGGAUGAGAUCUAACAUGUAAUCGAGUUAGUUUUGACGGGGAUUGAUCCCUAGUAUCCACUAUGUUCUGAGAUUGAUGUUGCUACUACUUGGCUAUGCUUAAUGCUUGUCACUAGGGCCCGAGUGCCAUGAAUUCAGAUCUGAACCUAUUAUGUUGUCACCAACAUAUAUAUGUGUUUUAGAUCCGAUCUUGCAAGUUGUAGUUACCUACUAUGUGUUAUGAUCCGGCAACCCUGGAGUGACAAUAACCGGAACCACUCCCGGUGAUGACCAUAGUUUGAGGAGUUCAUGUGUUCACCAAGUGCUAAUGCGUUGGUCCGGUUCUUUAUUAGAAGGAGAACCUUAAUAUCCCGUAGUAUCCAUUUGGACCCCGCUGCCACGGGAGGGAUGGGCAAUAGAUGUCAUACAAGUUCCUUUCCCUAAGCACGUAUGACUACACACAGAAUGCAUGCCUACAUCACAUUGACGAACGGGAGCUAGCCACAUAUCUCUCCGUGUUAUAACUGUUGCAUGAUGAAUGUCAUCCAACAAAUCACCGAUCCAUUGCCUACGAGUUUGUCCCACUGCUAUUGUUACUUGCUGCUGCUGUUACUUGCUUUGCUCUGCUGCUGUUACUACUAUUGCUGCUACUGUUACUUGCUUUGUCAUGCUGCUGCUGCCACUACUGUUGCUACUACUGUUACUUGUUGUUGCUGUUACUUGCUACUGUUGCUACUUGCUACUGCUGUCACUACUGCUGUUCCUUGCCACUGUUGUUACUCGUUACACUGCUGCUACCUGCUAGAAUACUUUUCUUGCGUCAUUGAUACUUCAGUUAGGAAUAAUCUGCCGUCAACAGAUUCUUUCCUAGCACUGUUGCUAUCAUACUACCUUUGCUGCUUAUAUCCUGCUUGCAGAUACUAAUCUUUCAGGUGUGGUUGAGCCGACAACUCAACUGCUAAUACUUGAGAAUAUCCUUUCACUCCCAUUGUGUCGAACCAACAAAUUUGGGUUGAAUACUCUACCCUCGAAAACUGCCGCGAUCCCACACGCUGGUGGGCCAUUGCAAGACAAUUGCUAAUUGUUGAGCAUCUGGAAGUAGGUACUAGCCAUGGAAAAGUGAGAAUACAGUAAUCUAACACCAAUAUAAAUAGAAAUCAAGUUUGCUACAGUACCUCAAGAGGUGGUAGUUUGUUUUCUUGUGCUAAUAAUAUCACGAGUUUCUGUUUAAGUUUUGUGUUGUGAAGUUUUCAAGUUUUGAGUGAUGUUCUCAUGGCCAAAGGGAUAAAGAGUGGAAAGAGCUCAAUCUUGGGGAUGCCCAAGGCACCCCAAGACAAAUUCAAGGACACCAAAAAGCCUAAGCUUGGGGAUGCCCCGGGAAGGCAUCCCCUCUUUCGUAUUCAAUCCAUCGGUAACAUUACUUCGAGCUAUAUUUUUAUUCACCACAUGGUAUGUGUUUUGCUUGGAGCGUCUUGUAUCGUAGGAGUCUUUUAUUUUUGUUGUGUCACAAUCAUCCUUGCUGCACACCUUUGGAGAGAGACAUGCACUCAUCCUGAUUUUGCUAGAAUACUCUUUGAGCUUCACUUAUAUCUUUUGAGUUAGGCAAUUUAGCUCACAUGCGCUUCACUUCGAUCUUUUAGAGCACGACAGUGUUAUAUUUUGGAGAAAUAAGGACUCUCGAUCUUCACUUAUAUCUUUUUGAGAGUGAUCUCUCUGAGUAACUUGGUAGUUGGCUUGUGCUAUGAAAGUAGUCCCAAAGGUGAUAGGAAUCCAAAGAGCAUACGAUGAAACUUCCAUCUUCUUGUUCAUUGAUUAGAAAGAGAAGUUUGAUUCCUCUCAAUUAGUUUUGAGAUAUGGAUUUGGUGAUACUAAGAGUUAUGUUAGUAGGGUGUUGUGAAUCUAGAAAUACUUGUGUUGAAGUUAGUGAUUAACGUAACAUGCACGUAUGGUGAACCGCUAUGUUAGGAAGUCAGAGCAUAAUUGAUCUAUUGAUUGUCAUCCUUUGUGUUGCGGUCGGGAUCGCGCGAUGGUUAACACCUACGAACCCUUCCCCUAGGAGUAUGCGUUUAGCACUUUGUUUUGAUUACUAAUAAAAACUUUCGCAAUAAGUAUGGGAGUUCUUCAUGACUAACGUGAGUCCAUGGUAUAGAUGCACUUUCACCUUCCACCAUUGCUAGCCUCUUUAGUGCCGCGCAACUUUCAUCGGUGCACAAACCCACCAUAUGCCUUCCUCAAAACAGCCACCAUAAGUACCUACUAUGGCAUCUUCAUAGCCAUUCCCAGAUAUAUUGCCAUGCAACUCCCACCGUUCCAUCUCAUGACUUGUGCCGUCACUUUCAUAUUGCCAUUGCAUGAUCGUAAGAUAGCUAGUGAGUCAUAUGCCAAGCUAGAUCGUUGCACAUCCCGGUACAUUGCCGGAGGCAUUUCCUAUAAGAGUCAUCAUUGUUCUAAGCAUUGAGCUUUUAGUAAAUUAAAGUGUGAUGAUCAUCAUUAUUAGAGCAGUGUCCCAUGUGAGUAAAUAAAAAAAAGGCCAAAGUGGCCCACAAAAAAAUAUAUAUGGAAAGAGGCCAAAGAGCCCCCAAAAAAGGAAGAGAGAAAAAGAGAGAAUGGACAAUGCUACUAUCUUUUUCCACACUUGUGCUUCAUAAUAGCACCAUGUUCUUCAUGAUUGAGAGUCUCUUGAUUUGUCACCACCAUAUGCUAGUGGGAAUUUUCGUUAUAUAACUUGGCUUAUAUAUUCCAAUGAUGGGAUUCCUCAAAAUUGCCCUAGGUCUUGACGAGCAAGCAAGUUGAAUGCACACCCACUAGUUCUUCUUUUGAGCUUUCACAUACUUAUAGCUCUAAGUGCAUCCAUUGCAUGGUAAUCCCUACUCUUUCACAUUGAUAUCUAUUAAUGGGCAUCUCCAUAGCCCUUUGAUACGCCGAGUCGAUGUGACCAUCUCCUCCUUUUUGUCUCACAACCUCCACCACACUCUAUUCCACCAUAGUGCUAUAUCCAUGGCUCAUGCUCAUGUAUUGCAUGAGAGUUGAAAAAGGUUUGAGAACGUAAGAGUGCGAAAACAAUUACUUCGCCAAUACCGGGGUUGUGCAUGAUUUAAAUUAGUUGUGUGGGGAUGAUGGAGCAUAGCCAGACUAUAUGAUUUUGUAGGGAUAACUUUCUUUGGCCUUGUUAUUUCGAAUGUUUAUGAUUACCUUGCUAGUUUUCUUGAAGUAUUAUUGUUUUCAUGUCAAUAGCAAGCUAUUAUUUGAAUCUUACGGAUCUGAACAUUCAUGUCACAUGAAAUAAGUUACAAAGGACAAAGAUGCUAGGUAGCAUUCCACAUCAAAAAUUCAGUCUUUAUCACUUCCCUACUCGAGGACGAGCUGGAGUUAAGCUUGGGGAUGCUUGAUACGUCUCCAACGUAUCUAUAAUUUUUGAUGGUUACAUGCUAUUAUCUUGUCAAACUUUGGAUGUUUUGUAUGCCUUUUAUAUCUUUUUUGGGACUAACUUAUUAACUCAGUGCCAAGUGCCAGUUCCUAUUUUUUUCGUGUUUUUGACCCUUUUCAGAGGAGAAUAUUAAACGGAAUCCAAAAGGAAUAAAACUUCCGAAAAGGUUUUUUCCGGAACAGAAAAUACGCAGGGGGCGUGAGAACCAAGGUAGAGGCCACCAGGGGAGGCCACAAGGCCCCUAGGCGCGGCCAGGGGGGCCUGACUCUGUGACAACAGACCUUCCCCUGCAACGGCACCAGAAGAAUGCUGCUAGCACUCCCCGGCAAUCGAAACUAGAAGAAUAUUGUUGACGGCCCACCAGCGCGUGGGAUCGAGGCAGUUUUCGAGGGUAGAGUAUUCGAACAAAAUUUGUUGAUACGCCAGUAGGAGGUGAGACGAUACUCUCAAGUAUUAGCAGUUGAAUGUGUCAGAUUCAACCAGACGUGAAAGAUUAGUAUCUGCAAGCAAAGUAUCAUCAGCAAAGUAGUAUGAUAACAACGGUGUCAGAAACGAUCUGUUGACGGCAGACUAUUCCUAACGAUUGUAUCAAUGGUGCCAGAAGUUGCCCGUUGACGGAAAUUGUCUGUUCCCGUCAACGCCGAGCGAACAAAAAUUGUAACAGGUAGCAGCAGUGAAACGAGUAACAGCAGUGGCAAGGAACAGCAGUAGUGACAGCAGUAGCAAGUAGCAACAGUAGCAAGUAGCAGCAGAGCAAGCGACAGUAGUAACAGCAGCAGUGGGACAAACUUGUAGGCAAUGGGUCCGUGAUUCGUUCGGAUGAUAUUCAUCAUGCAACAGUUAUAAGACGGAGAGAUAUGUGGCUAGCUCCCGUUCGUCAAUGUGAUGUAGGCAUGCAUUCCGUGUGUAGUCAUACGUGCUUAGGGAAAAGAACUUGCAUGACAUCUAUUGUCCAUCCCUCCCGUGGCAGCGGGGUCCAAAAGGAUACUACAGGAUGUUAAGGUUCUCCUUUUAAUAAAGAACCGGAACAACGCAUUAGCACUUGGUGAACACAUGAACUCCUCAAAGUAUGGUUAUCAUCAGGAGUGGUUCCGGUUANGCCGCAAGCUUCUGUCUCCGCAAGAUCCCAUCUGGGGCACAUUCUGGUGCCCUGUCGGAGGGGGGAUUCGGAUACGGAGGGCUUCUUCAUCAACACCAUUGACUCUCCGAUGAUGCGUGAGUAGUUCACCAUAAACCUUCGGGUCCAUAGCUAGUAGCUAGAUGGCUUCUUCUCUCUCUUGGAUCUUCAAUACAAAGUUCUCCAUGAUCUUCAUGGAGAUCUAUCCGAUGUAAUCUUCUUUUGCGGUGUGUUUUUCGAGAUCCGAUGAAUUGUGGAUUUAUGAUCAGAUUAUCUAUGAAUCUUAUUUGAGUUUCUUCUGAUCUCUUAUAUGCAUGAUUUCAUAUCCUUGUAAUUCUGUUCGAGUUGUGGGUUUUGUUUGGCGAACUUGAUCUAUGAUUGUUGCAAUGGGAUAAGUGCUUUGUUUUGGGUUCAUACCGUGCGGUGACCUCACCCAGUGACAAAAGGGGUAGCGAGGCACACAUCAUGUUGUUGGCAUCAAGGGUAAAAAGAUGGGGUUUAUACCUAUUGCAUGAACUUAUCCCUCUACAUCAUGUCAUCUUGCUUAAAGCGUUACUCUGUUUGUCAUGAACUCAAUACACUAGAUGCAUGCUGGAUAGCGGUCGAUGUGUGGAGUAAUAGUAGUAGAUGCAGAAAGAAUCGGUCUUCUUGUCUCGGACGUGAUGCCUAUAUGUAUGAUCAUUGCCUUAGAUAUAAUUUGCCCUUCCGACCCGCUGCAUGCCACCCUUGUCGAGCUGACUACUCCCAUCGCCCCAACGGCUAAUACAACGCUGACUAGGGCUGAGGUGGAAGAGGCUCGCAAACAACUACUAGUGGAGGGCACCGCCCUUGCCACCUCCAAGCGCUGGAUGAAGGCGGCACGGCGUGAGUACAACUCCGCUUAUGGCUUCACCCCAGCCGCUGACGGACCCAGCCGGCUCGGCGACCUCCGCUGUCGCGGUCGGGUUGUUGCCGAAAUCCUAGGCGGCCAGCUACCCAUCUAUGACACUCCUGCGGCAAACAUGCGGGCCGCCCAGGCGGCCCAUGAAGAGAUGGAUGCCCUGCAGGGCGAGGAGCGGGUGCGUUAAGAAAAGUGCGUCAAGGACCUCCUCACUGCCGCCAAGGAGCAACAGGAUCGCCUCGAUCCUGCCCGUGCUUUCUCCGUAUCUCCGGCCUUCGACAUCGAAGGUUAUGAUGUCCCCAACGACCGUCAGCAAGCUCAGCAUUCUUCCUCCCAUCGUAAAUCCGACCAGAAGGCCGAGGGAAGCCGUGAGUAGCAUUCCCAACGCCGGAGAGAGCAUCACGCAGUAUCUAGCCGGCUCGGCGAGCCGGCUGGAACUAGAGGAGGCUCAGUUCAUGAAGUUCCCCCGCCUGAGCGGUGGGAGAAGGCCAGCACACCCGUGCCCGCAAUCCGGCCUGAGCUCGCGGCUUGGAUCGGCCCUCGCGUCCUUCGCAGCAAGAGCGAUGCUCGCACACGCAUCGACCUUCUGGCGCAGUCGGCCCUCCUGGAGGAGGAGGGUCCCAUUGGUCCGACGUGCUUCGGUCCUCGGAUCCGAGGGGAGGCGUUCCCGUCCGGCUUCACCGUCCCCCGCGAUACUACGAAAUACAACGGCUCUGGCAAGCCGAAAGACUGGCUGAUCGACUACAUCACUGCAGUCGGCAUUUCUCGGGGCAACAAGCGUGUUGCCGUCUGCUACGUGACACUCAUGCUGACCGGCUCGACAAGAACUUGGCUUAACAGUCUGCCAGCUGGCAACAUCAACUCUUGGGUUGACUUUGAAGAUGCUUUCGUCCGCAACUUCACUCGCACCUACAAGCGCCCUGGCCACGCCCGUGAGCUGGCCAUGUGCGUUCAGAAGCCCGACAAACCCCUCUGUGACUACAUCAUGCACUCGACGGAGUUGCACAACUCCUGCGAAGGAGUGCAUGAAGUACAAGCCAUUCAAUACUUCACUAAAGACUGUCGAGACGACACCCUUCUCAAGCACAAACUCAUGUGCUGCGAACCUACCUCUUUGGCAGCACUCAUGGACAAGGCGGAUAAAUACACUACUGCCAACUCUGCCAUGAGGAUCAAGGUCAGCGCGACGGACAAACCCGACCAACCGCCGGCUACAACUAAGCCGGUGGCGACAACUGAGGCGGGCAAAACAACAAGCGCAAGGCGGAUCAGCAAGACCCGUGAGCUUGAAGCAAGCAGGUGGCAAACAUGGAGGAAGAGCAGCCGGCUGCGCAAGACGACGCUCAGCAACAACGAACCGGCAAGAACACCUGACAGCCCAAGCUCACAUUCGAGUAGAUGCUCGACGCGCCUUGCAAGAUGCAUUCCGGGGCAAAGCCAGCCACCCACACACUCCGGUAGUGCAGCUUCUCACAGCGCCUGGCCCGCUGGCGGCUCCCCCGGGGGUGGCUCCUCGAGGUCCGACUCCCGGGCCGGGUCCGGCUCCAGCUCAACCGCCCCCAAUGACGGCCGUCUUCAUGACCAAUUCCCCAAGAAGGACGGGCCUACAUCGUCUUUACCAGCGAGGGCGAUGACAAGCAUAGUGAGCGUCAGCGCCGACAUGAGGUGAAUGCAACGGUCCUCUCGGUUCCCCAAUACACGCAUUGGUCUAAAAAGCAAAUUACAUGGAGCCAGGCGGACCAUCCCGCGGUGAUGCCGAAUCCUGGCACAUACGCGCUCGUCCUCGUCCCCACCAUCGCCUCCAAGAGACUCACAUGUACGUUCUCGCAGGUGCUCGUCGACGGCGGUAGCAUCAUGAACAUCCUCUACCGUGACACCAUGCUCGAGCUCGGGCUGAAGGAGAAGGACCUACAACCGACCAGGACUGUCUUCCACGACAUUGUGUCGGGGCAGUCUUGCUCGCCUAUCGGCAAAAUCCAGGUGGACUUCCUCUUUCGCGACAAGUCGCACUUCCACCGCGAGCCGGUCUGGUUCAAGGAGGUGGACCUCAACAACCCGUACCAUGCGCUGCUAGGAAGGCCGGCGCUGGCCAAGUUCAUGGCUAUCCCCCAUUACACCUACCUCAAGAUGAAGAUGUCGGGUCCCAAGGGCAUUAUCACUGUUGCCGGCAACUCCAAGAAGUCAAUCGAGUGUGGGUGCAACAGCAGCCGGCUGGCCGAGGCACUGGUGAUUGCACAGGAGAAGAGGCAGCUCAACCGGCUCAUGGCUGAGGCUACCGAGCAGCCGCCCGUGCCAACUCCUCCGUCCCAAUCAGACGGCGAGGCCUCAUUCGAGCCGUCCAAGGGAACCGGGCAAGUGCCACUCGACCCAGCCAACCCCAAGUAGUGCGUGACCAUCGGCGCCAACCUUAGCCCCAAAUAGGAAGGUGAGCUCGUCGACUUCCUCAGUGAGAAUCGAGAUAUCUUUGCAUGGUCCCCCAAGGACAUGUCGGGAGUUCCAAGGAACUACGCCGAGCACAAGCUUCAUGUGCAACCUAAUGCAAAGCCGGUCAAACAACCUUUGUGCCGCUUUGCUGAGGGGAAGCGACACACAAUCGGAGAAGAGAUCGCUUGGCUACUUGCAACCGGCUUCAUCAUGGAAGUUUCCCACCCGGACUGACUGGCCAACCCAGUCCUGGUGCAGAAGAAAAACAAAACAUGGUGCAUGUGUAUCGACUACACAAGCCUGAAUAUGGCAUGUCUGAAGGAUCCCGUCGCCCUGCCACGGAUAGAUCAAGUGACUGACUCCACGGUCGGCUACGAUUUGUUGUCCUUUGUGGACGCUUAUUCCGGCUACCACCAGAUCAAGCUGGACCCGGCCGACCGGCUCAAGACCUCCUUCAUCACACCUUCUGGAGCCUACUGCUACACGAUGAUGACAUUUGGCCUAAAGACUAUAGGCGCCACCUUCCAGCGUUGCAUGCAAUAAUGCCUCCUGCCGCAAAUCGGCAGGAACAUACACGUCUGCAUCGACGAAAUCGUCGUCAAGACCAAGAAGUAUUUCAGUCUCCUUGACGAUUUGUCGGAGACCUUUGCCAACUUGCACGAGUACAAGAUCCAUGUCAAUCCAGAGAAGUGCGUAUUCGGAGUACCAACCGACAAGCUCCUGGGUUUCUUCGUGUCGGCUCGCGGCAUCGAAGCUAACCCCGAGAAGACCAGAACAAUCGAGUGCAUGGCCAAGCCGGCUCAACUCCUCGACGUCUAGAAGUUUGCCGGCUGCCUAGCAUCCCUCAGCCGGUUUGUUAGACGGCUGGGUGAGAAGGCACUACCACUCUAUCAGCUGAUGAAGAAGACAACCAAAUUCGAGUGGAAUGAUCAAGCGGACGAAGCAUUCCGCGACCUCAAGUGCGUGAUCUCCAGCACGCAAAUCUUGGCCACGCCGGCGGAGAGGGAACCCAUCCUCAUCUAAAAUGCGACAACCAUGCGCGUGGUCAGUGUCGUCUUGGUGGUGGAGCGAAAGGAGGAGGGCAAUGUGCUGCUGGUCAGCGCCCUGUCUACCAUCUAAGCGAAGUCUUGUCCGCCUCCAAGCAAAACUACCCCAUUUUCAAAAGAUGUGCUAUGGCGUGUAUUUUGCCACCAAGAAGCUGAAGCAAUACUUCCAGGAGCAUGCCAUCACGGUGGUGAGCACAACUCCACUUUCAGAAAUCAUGGGCAACUGUGAUGCUAUGGGCCAGAUUGCCAAGUGGUCCAUCUCCAUGGCCGACCAUGACAUCCGCUAUGAGCUGUGCACCGCCAUCAAGUCUCAAGUGGUGGCCGACUUCCUCGUCGAUUGGGCCGAGACCCAGUUCCUACCACCGCCUCCUGACUCCACACAUUGGCGGAUACAUUUCGACGACUCCAAGAUGCGAACCGGCCUGGGAGCCGGCAUUGUCCUGACGUCCCCGAAAGGGGCCAACUCAAAUAUGCUCUGUAGAUACACUUCGCCUCCUCCAACAACGUCACCGAGUACGAGGCACUUGCACACGCCCUCUGACUUGCUAGAGAGAUCGUCAUCCAGCGGAUUCUUUGCUUCAGCGACUCUGACCUCGUGGUGCAGCAAGUCUUUCGCGAGUGGGAUGCCAGGGACGCCAACAUGGCCAGCUACCGCUUCCCCAUCCAGCAGCUUAGUGGCCCUUUCGAGGGCUGCGAGUUCCAUCAUGUCCCCCGAGCAGACAAUGAGGCAGCAGAUACAUUGGCACAAAUGGGCUCCACAAGGCAAGCAAUCCCGACCGGCGUCUCCCUCGAACAGCUGCACAAGCCUUCCAUCAAGCCGUCUCGAGCGUCGUCAUCGAUCUUCGUGCCUGCAGACCCGUCCGUCCCAAUGACUUUAGGUACGAAGACGCUUCAUCAACUCCGCCGGCUCGGCCCGUUCUGCCAGCUCCGUCAGCUUUGCUGGCUCCGGUUACCUUGCCGACACCAACUACUCUGCCGGCUAUGCCAAACCUCGAACCCAGUCGGCUCAACACCCAGUGGGUGGCCGUCAUGGAGGUUGAUGGCAUGCCGGCUUCCACGACGACACCAGAGACAGAAGGUCUCGAACCCAGGACCACAAUGACAAACUCGGGGGCCUCAGCGGCCCCUGGCCUUCAGGCCGAGCCAGAAUCGGCUCGUGUGUCAGCUCCCACAUGGGCACACCCCAUCCUGUCUUUCCUCCUUUGCGGUGAGCUCCCUUAAGACAAGGUGGAAGCACGGCAAAUCCAGUGCCGAUCUCUCACUUACGCCAUCAUCAACCGUGAACUGGUUCGACACAGUGUAACAGGCGUACUUCAACGCUGCGUCGAAUCAGAGAAAUGAAAAUAAAUUCUCAAGGACAUACAUCAGGGUGAGUGCGGGCAUCACGCCGCCUCCAGAACCCUGGUGGCCAAGGCGUUCCGCCAUGGAUUCUAUUGGCUCACGACCCUGGAAGAGGCCACCACUCUGGUCGACAAGUGUGAAGGAUGCCAGUGCUUCAACACGCAAAGCCACUUGCCGGCCUCAGCUCUAAAGACCAUUCCCCUCUCAUGUCCCUUUGUCGUCUGGCGUUGGACAUGGUAGGCCCAUUCAAGACCGCUCGAGGCCGCAUGCCGCAUCUCCUGGUAGCCGUUGACAAGUUCACCAAGUGGAUUGAGGCCAGGCCAAUAAAGAAGCUUGACGGUCCCACGACCGUCAGGUUCAUCAAGGACAUCACCGUCCGCUAAGGUGUCCCCCACAGCAUCAUCACCGAUAAUGGCACCAACCUCGCCAAAGGUGCAAUGGCGCUCUUCUAUGCCAAGGAGGGCAUUCGGUUCGACCUUUCGUCGGUUGCCCACCCGCAGUCUAACGGCCAUGGGAAGGGCAAACAACCUGAUCUUGGCCGGCAUCAAGCCAAGACUCGUGGCACCGAUCGUCAGGUCAGCCGUCUGCUGGAUCAAAGAGUUGACGGCUGUGCUGUGGAGCCUCCACACCACACCGAACCGGUCAACUGAUUUCACGCCAUUCUUCCUCGUCUACGGGUCCGAGGCAAUCAUCCCCGCGGAUGUCGAGUUCGACUUGCCUCGCGUCACCCUGUACACGGAGGCAGAUGCAAAAGAGGAAAGAGAAGACGGUGUCAAUCUACUCGAGGAGGCACGGGAGCUGGCCCUGAGCUGGACGGCCAUCUACCAGCAGAAGAUGAGACACUACCACAUCAAAAAGAUCAGGCCUCUCUCUUCCCAUGAGGCGGACCUAGUACUUAGAAGAAUCUAGCAAACAGCCGGCCAACACAAGCUCUCUUCCCCAUGGGAGGGACCCUUGAUCAUCAGCAAGGUGCUGCACAACAAUGCGUACUAUCUAAUAGAUGCUCAGAAGCCGCAGAAGCGCAAAAGAGACGCCUCCGGCGAGGAAACGGAGCAUCCAUAGAACGCGGCACUGCUUCGCCCGUUCUAUUGCUAGAACAAGAGAGAAAAUGUGUACGUAUGUAUCCUUUACCCUUUUGGGGUCUCAACGAAUGCAAUGGGUGUCUCAAGAUAGCACUUGGGGCAUACCUAUUUGAUUUCAUAAAAAGAGUUGUCAUUAGAAGAGUGGGCUUCCCGAUCUGACUCCUCGGGCUCGGGGGCUCGCUAGCCGGCCCAAGCCAACUUCCUAGUCGUAGUUGAACAUAUAGUGCAUGUCGAGCCGAAACCCUUACCACCUUGUGCAAGCUAGAGACCGGCUCCGGACUGUCCGGCUAACAUGAUUGUGGAAUGGAAGGCUGGUUGCACGUAAAAUUUGACUACAAAGAGGUUGUCGGCUCAGGUUGGUCUGAUCGCUUCCGAUCUUCAUUUCUAGCUAGCCUGUGCUAACUCGCUCCAAGUCUAAGUAUCUCCGCGACUUCAAGAAAUUCGAGGAUGGCGCCUUCGUAGGCAGAAGCCCCAUCCUAGUCACAAACCGGCUCCCUGCUGUCGGAUUGGCGGGGUGGAUGCUGGAGGAGGCAAGCUGUUGGAUAGACGGAAGCCAAAGGGGAACGUAAGAUAAAAAAGCGAGUCGGCAAGCACAACCUUCGCAGGCACAAUUCAAGCAAACAAGCAUAUAUUAUAUCAAAAGACAUGUAAAGGCCGACGACCAAAGUUCAUUACAUUACACCCCAAGUGCGUGGAACUGUUGGAUUAACAAAAAAUGCAGAAAAGUAGAAAAAACUUUAUUUGGUGGUGGCUCCACCCUUGGCUCCGACAUCGCCGGCAGCACCGGAGGUCGAGGAGGCUCCACCCAUGGCUCCGACAUUGUUAGCAGCACCUGAGGUCGACGCGGCUCCACCCUUGGCAUUGGCAUCACCAGCGGCACCUGACGUGGAGGCGCCGUCGUCUGCUCGGGUGCCUUUGGCACUGCCCUUUGUGGCGGAGUCAACAUAGGCCUCGCCGCUCAAGUCGGCAUCCUCGAAUGCCGUCUCAUCGGAGCUGCCAUCAGGGUCGGCAAGCUAGCCCAUAAUGACCCUCCGGGAUCAGGCUUCUGUCAGCACUCCGCUCCAGGGAAUACUCAUUCCAUGGGCAAAGGAGGCAAUGCCGCUCGGCCGCACCUGCAGCUCGUCUUCGACGGCGGCUGACACGUGUCCAACGUAUCUAUAAUUUUUGAUGGUUACAUGCUAUUAUCUUGUCAAACUUUGGAUGUUUUGCAUGCCUUUUAUAACUUUUGGGACUAACUUAUUAAUUCAGUGCCAAGUGCCAGUUCCUGUUUUUUCCGUGUUUUUGACCCUUUUCAGAGAAGGAUUUUAAACGGUGUCCAAACGGAAUAAAAUUUUCGAAAAGAUUUUUUCCGGAACAGAAGAUACGCACGGGAUGUGAGAACCAAGGCAGAAGCCACCACGGGAUGCCACAAGCCCCCUAGGCGCGGCCGGGGGGGCCUAGCAGGCUUGUGGGCCCCCUGUGACUCGUCUGCACUACCUCUUCUGCCUAUAAAUUCCUGAAAAAUCCAAAACUGCGGGAGAGAUCCACGAAAAUACUUUUCCGCUGCCGCAAGCUUCUGUCUCCGCAAGAUCCCAUCUGGGGCACGUUCUGGUGCCCUGCCGGAGGGGGGAUUGGAUACGGAGGGCUUCUUCAUCAACACCAUGACCUCUCCGAUGAUGCAUGGGUAGUUUACCAUAGACCUUCGGGUCCAUAGCUAGUAGCUAGAUGCCUUCUUCUCUCUCUUGGAUCUUCAAUACAAAGUUCUCCAUGAUCUUCAUGGAUAUCUAUCCGAUGUAAUCUUCUUUUGCGGUGUAUUUGUCGAGAUCCGAUGAAUUGUGGAUUUAUGAUCAGAUUAUCUAUGAAUCUUAUUUAAAUUUCUUCUGAUCUUUUAUAUGCAUGAUUUCAUAUCCUUGUAAUUCUCUUCGAGUUGUGGGUUUUCUUUGGCCAACUUGAUCUAUGAUUCUUGCAAUGGGAGAAGUGCUUGGUUUUGGGUUCAUACCGUGCGGUGACCUCACCCAGUGACAGAAGGGGUAGUGAGGCACGCAUCAUGUUGUUGCCAUCAAGGGUAAAAAGAUGGGGUUUACAUCAUUGGUUUGAGUUUAUCCCUCUACAUCAUGUCAUCUUGCUUAAGGCGUUACUCUGUUCGUCAUGAACUCAAUACACUAGAUGCAUGCUUGAUAGCAGGGGAUGUGUGGAGUAAUAGUAGUAGAUGCAGACAGUAUCGGUCUACUUGUCUUGGACGUGAUGCCUAUAUGUAUAAUCAUUGCCUUAGAUAUCGUCAUGACUUUGCGCGGUUCUAUCAAUUGCUCGACAGUAAUUUGUUCACCCACCGUAAUAUUUGCUACUUUGGGAGAAGCCUCUAGUGAACACUAUGGCCCCCGGGUCUACUUCACAUCAUAUUUUCAGCCUUUAACUUUUACUUCGUUGUACUUUCCACCUUCAGAUCUCACUUUGCAAUCAAUCUUGAAGGGAUUGACAACCCCUUUAUAGCGUUGGGUGCAAGCUCGUUUGUAUUUGCGCAGGUACUCUGUACACUUGGAUUGAUUCUCCUACUGGAUUGAUACCUUGGUUCUCAAACUGAGGGAAAUACUUACUUCUCCUGUGCUGCAUCACCCUUUCCUCUUCAAGGGAAAACCAACGCAAGCUCAAGAGGCAACAGAAGGAUUUCUGGCGCCGUUGCCGGGGACUUCUGGCCCCGUAGCAGAAGGAUUUCUCGCGCCGUUGCCGGGGAGGAUCAAGUUCUAGGUGAAGCUUAUCCAAGUAAGUGUCGAAAACUCAUCUCUUGCAUUUACUUUUUUGCCUUUCGUUUUCCUCUCCCCCAGUUUUGAAAAACAAAAAAUUACAAAAAUAUUUGCCUUCUUCGUUUGCCUUUUUCGUUCGCCCUUUUAUCUCGCUUGCUUUCUGUUCGCUUGUGUGCUUGUUUGCUUGUCGAAGUCACCAUGACUAAAAACACCAAACUCUAUGACUUCUCGAAUACUAAUAAUAAUGAUUUUAUUAGUACUCCGAUUGCUCCCGCCACUAGUGCGGAAUCAUACGAAAUCAAUGUUGCCUUGCUGAAUCUUGUUAUGAAAGAGCAAUUCUCCGACCUUCCUAGUGAAGAUGCCGCAUCCCAUCUUAAUAUCUUCAUUGAGCUUUGCGAUAUGCAGAAUAAGAAAGAUGUGGAUAAUGAUGUGAUUAAAUUGAAGCUUUUUCCUUUCUCGUUGCGAGAUCGAGCAAAAACUUGGUUUUCAUCUUUGCCCAAAAAUAGUAUUGAUUCUUGGAACAAGUGCAAAGAUGAUUAUAUAUCCAAGUAUUUUCCGUCGGCUAAGAUUAUCUCUCUCCGUAAUGAUAUCUUGAAUUUUAAGCAACUUGAUCAUGAACAUGUUCCACAAUCUUGGGAGAGAAUGAAAUUGAUGAUUAGAAAAUGUCCCGCUCAUGGCUUGAGUCUUUGGAUGAUUAUACAAAUCUUCUACGCUGGUUUGAAUUUCGCUUCUAGAAAUAUCUUGGACUCCGCCUCAGGUGGAACAUUCAAGGAAAUCACAUUAGGAGAAGCCACGAAACUCCUAGACAAUAUCAUGAUAAACUACUCUCAGUGGCACACUGAAAGGUCACCUACUAGUAAAAAAGUACACGCUAUAGAAGAAAUUAACUCGUUGAGUGCUAAGAUGGAUGAUUUAAUGAAUUUUGUUGCUAGUAGAAGUGCUCCUUUAGAUCCUAAUGAUAUGCCCUUGUAUUCCUUGAUUGAGAGUAGCAAUGCGAGCUUGGACGUUAAUUUUGUUGGUAGGAAUAAUUUUGGCAACAACAAUGCUUUUAGAGGAAACUAUGUUCCUACGCCUUUUCCUAGGAACCCCUCUAAUAACUUUGGCAACUCCUACAACAAUACUCAUGGAAAUUACGAUAAAUUACCCUCUGAUCUAGAUAGUAAUAUCAAAAAGUUUAUCAACUCGCAAAAGAUUUUCAAUGCGUCCAUAGAGGAAAAACUACUCAAAAUUGACGAUUUGGCUAGGAGCGUUGAUAGAAUGUCUAGUGAUACUGAUGCUUUGAAAGUUAGAUGUGCUCCUCCCAAGAUCAACAUGGAUGAAACUUUGAAACCCAUGCGUGUUUCCAUGAGUGAGAGCAAAGAAAGAACCGCCCAAAUUCGUGCUAGACAUGAAUGGCUUAAAAAGGCGUGUUCUCGUGAUAAGAAUCACGAAGAUCUUAAAGUGCUUGGUGUGACUCCCAUUGAAUCUUUGUUCUCUCGUGUCAAACCUAAUGAUGAUGGGGCUGGAUAUGAAUCUACUUUGGUUGAAAAACGCCUCAAUGAUUCGGAGUCCAUCUAUCUUGAUGCUAAAAGCAUUGAAAGUGGAGUAGAAGAAAUCAAAACUUUGAGUAGUAAUGAAAGUACUACUUUGGAUUUCAAGGAAUUCAAUUAUGAUAGUUUCUCCUUGAUUGAAUGCAUUUCCUUGAUGCAAUCCAUGCUAAACUCUCCACACGCUUAUAGCCAAAACAAGGCCUUUACCGAUCAUAUCGUUGAAGCUAUGAUAAAAUCUCUUGAAGAGAAACUUGAGUUGGAAGUUUCUAUUCCUAGAAAGCUUCAUGAUGAGUGGGAACCUACUAUCAAAAUCAAAAUCAAAAACUAUGAAUGCAAUGCUUUGUGUGAUUUGGGUGCUAGUGUUUCCGCGAUUCCAAAGUCUUUAUGUUAUGUUCUAGGCUUUAAUGAGAUUGAGGAGUGUUCUCUUAAUUUGCAUCUUACGGAUUCUACUGUCAAGAAACCCAUGGGAAGGAUCAAUGAUGUUCUUAUUAUUGCAAAUAGGAACUAUGUACCCAUGCAUUUCAUUGUGCUUGAUAUUGAUUGCAAUCCUACAUGUCCUAUCAUUCUUGGUAGACCUUUCCUAAGGACUAUUGGUGCUAUCAUCGAUAUGAAGGAAGGGAAUAUUUGAUUUCAAUUUCCUUUAAAUAAGGGCAUGGAGCAUUUUCCUAGAAAGAAAAUAAGAUUGCCUUAUUAAUCAAUGAUGAGGGCUACUUAUGGUUUGAGCACCAAAGACGACGAUACGUGAUUCUAUCGCCUUAUGCCUAGCUAAGGGCGUUAAAAAAUAGCGCUUGUUGGGAGGCAACCAAAUGAAUUUAUUUUUUUCUUUCUGUUUUAUUGCGUCCACACUAUCAUAAUUCUGUUAUGAUAGUUUUUUGUGUUUCUUUUUGUGUUUGAGCCAAGCAAAACCUUUAUGAUUGGUUUGGUGAUGGUUGUUUGAUCCUGCUGGAAAAAGACAGAAACUUUUCGCUCACGAAAUUAUUUUUCGUUUUUAUUCCGAAAGAGAUUUUGAUUUGAUUCCUUUUGCUGCUGGUUUAUAUGCCUUUUUCCCAGGCUGUCGUAAUGUUUCAUAAUUUUUGAGGCACCAGAAGUAUACGAAGUAUAAAGAUUUCUACAGACUGGUCUGUUUUUGACAGAUUUUGUUUUUGUUGUGUUGGUUGCUUGUUUUGAUGAAACUAUGGAUAGUAUCGGGGGUACUAGCCAUGGAAAAGUGAGAAUACAGUAAUCUAACACCAAUAUAAAUAGAAAUCAAGAUUGCUACAGUACCUAAAGUGGUGGUAGUUUGUUUUCUUGUGCUAAUGAUAUCACGAGUUUCUGUUUAAGUUUUGUGUUGUGAAGUUCUCAAGUUUUGGGUGAUGUUCUCAUGGACAAAGGGAUAAAGAGUGGAAAGAGAUCAAGCUUGGGGAUGCCCAAGGCAUCCCAAUCUAAAUUCAAGGACACCAAAAAUCCUAAGCUUGGGUAUGCCCCGGGAAGACAUCCCCUCUUUCGUCUUCAAUCCAUCGGUAACAUUACUUGGAGCUAUAUUUUUAUUCAGCACAUGAUAUGUGUUUUGUUUGGAGCGUCUUGUAUCGUAGGAGUCUUUUCUUUUUGUUGUGUCACAAUCAUCCUUGCUGCACACCUUUUGAGAGAGACAUGCACUCAUCGUGAAUUUGCUAGAAUACUCAUUGUGCUUCACUUAUAUCUUUUGAGCUAGACAAUGUUGCUGUGUGCUUCACUUAGAUCUUUUAGAGCACCGCUGUGCGUAACUUGGUAGUUGGCUUGUGCUAUGAAUGUAGUCCCAAAGGUGAUAGGUAGCCAAAGAGGAGACAAUAACACUUCCAUCUUCAUGUGUGUUGAGUAGAAAGAGAAGUUUGAUUCCUCUCAAUUAGUUUUGAGACGUGGAUUUGGUAAUAUUAAGAGUUAUGUUAGUAGGGUGUUGUGAAUCUAGAAAUACUUGUGUUAAAGUUAGUGAUUCCCGUAACAUGCACAUAUGGUGAACCACUAUGUUAGGAAGUCGGAGCAUAAUUGAUCUAUUGAUUUCCAUUCUUUGUGUUGCCGUCGGGAUCGCGCGAUGGUUAACACCUACUAACCCUUCCUCUAGGAGUAUGCGUUUAGCACUUUGUUUCGAUUACUAAUAAAAACUUUUGCAACAAGUAUGUGAGUUCUUCAUGACUAAUGUGAGUCCAUGGUAUAGAUGCACUUUCACCUUCCACCAUUGCUAGCCUCUCUAGUACCGCGCAGUUUUCGCUGGUGCACAAACCCACCAUAUGCCUUCCUCAAAACAGCCACCAUACCUACCUACUAUGGCAUUUUCAUUGCCAUUCCGAGAUAUAUUGCCAUGCAACUCCCACCGUUCCGUCUCAUGACUUGUGCCGUCACUCUCAUAUUGCCAUUGCAUGAUCAUAAGACAGCUAGCGAGAUGUUUCAACGUCAUACGCCAAGCUAGAUCGUUGAACAUCCCGGUACACUGCCGGAGGCAUUUCCUAUAGAGUCAUCAUCGUUCUAAGCUUUGAGCUGUGAGUAAAUAAAAGUGUGAUGAUCAUCAUUAUUAGAGCAUUGUCCCAUGUGAGGAAAUAAAAAAAUAGAGGCCAAAGUUGCCCACAAAAAAAGAGAUAUGGAAAGAGGCCGAAGAACCCAAACAAAAAAAAGAAAAAGAAAAAAAGAGAGAAAAUUAGAGAAGGGACAAUGCUACUAUCUUUUUCCACACUUGUGCUUCAUAAUAGCACCAUGUUCUUCAUGAUUGAGAGCCUCCUCGUUUUGUCACCACCAUAUACUAGUGGGAAUCUUUAUUAUAUAACUUGGCUUGUAUAUUCCAAUGAUGGGCUUCCUCAAAAUUGCCCUAGGUCUUCGUGAGCAAGCAAGUUGGAUGCACACCCACUAGUUCUCCUUUUGAGCUUUAACAUACUUAUAGCUCUAAGUGCAUCCAUUGCAUGGUAAUCCCUACUCUUUCACAUUGAUAUCUAUUAAUGGGCAUCUCCAUAGCCCUUUGAUACGCCGAGUCGAUGUGACCAUCUCCUCCUUUUUGUCUCACAACCUCCACCACACUCUAUUCCACCAUAGUGCUAUAUCCAUGGCUCAUGCUCAUGUAUUGCAUGAGAGUUGAAAAAGGUUUGAGAACGUAAGAGUGCGAAAACAAUUACUUCGCCAAUACCGGGGUUGUGCAUGAUUUAAAUUAGUUGUGUGGGGAUGAUGGAGCAUAGCCAGACUAUAUGAUUUUGUAGGGAUAACUUUCUUUGGCCUUGUUAUUUCGAAAGUUCAUGAUUACCUUGCUAGUUUACUUGAAGUAUUAUUGUUUUCAUGUCAAUAGCAAAUUAUUGUUUUUAAUCUUAUGUAUAGGAACAUUCAUGUCACAUGAAAGAAGUUACAAAGGACAACUAUGCUAGGUAGCAUUCCACAUCAAAAAUUAAGUCUCUAUCACUUCCCUACUCGAGGACGAGCGGGAGUUAAGCUUGGGAUGCUUGAUACGUCUGUAACGUAUCUAUACUUUUUGAUGGUUCCAUGCUAUUAUCUUGUCAAUCUUUGGAUGUUUUGUAUGCCUUUUAUAUCUUUUUUGGGACUAACUUAUUAACUCAGUGCCAAGUGCCAGUUUCUGUUUUUUUCGUGUUUUUGACCCUUUUCAGAGGAGAAUUUUAAACGGUGUCCAAACGGAAUAAAACUUCUGAUUUUUUUUCCGGAACAGAAGAUACGCACGGGACGUGAGAACCAAGGCAGAAGCCACCAGGGGACGCCACAAGCCCCCUAGGCGCGGCCAGGGGGGCCCGCGCCUAGCAGGCUUGUGGGCCCCGUGUGGCUCGUCCGCCCUACCUCUUCCGCCUAUAAAUUCCUGAAAAAUCCAAAACCGCGGGAGAGAUCCUUGAAAAUACUUUUCCGCCGCCACAAACUUCUGUCUCCGCAAGAUCCCAUCUAGGGAACGUUCUGGUGCCCUGCCGGAGGGGGGAUUCGGAUACGGAGGGCUUCUUAAUCAACACCAUGACCUCUCCGAUGAUGCAUGAGUAGUUUACCAUAGACCUUCGGGUCCAUAGCUAGUAGCUAGAUGGCUUAUUCUCUCUCUUGGAUCUUCAAUACAAAGUUCUCCAUGAUCUUCAUGGAGAUCUAUCCGAUGUAAUCUUAUUUUGUUGUGUGUUUGUCGAGAUCCGAUGAAUUGUGGAUUUAUGAUCAGUUUAUCUAUGAAUCUUAUUUGAGUUUCUUCUCAUCUCUUAUAUGCAUGAUUUCAUAUCCUUGUAAUUCUCUUCGAGUGAUGGGUUUUGUUUGGCCAACUUGAGCUAUGAUUCUUGCAAUGGGAUAAGUGCUUGGUUUUGGGUCCAUACCGUGCGGUGACCUCACCCAGUGACAGAAGGAGUAGCGAGGAACGCAUCGUGUUGUUGCCAUCAAGGGUAAUAAGAUGGGGUUUACAUCAUUGGUUUGAGUUUAUCCCUCUACAUCAUGUUAUCUUGCUUAAGGUGUUACUCUGUUUGUCAUGAACUCAAUACAAUAGAUGCAUGCUGGAUAGCGGUCGAUGUGUGGAGUAAUAGUAGUAGAUGCAGACAGUAUCGGUCUACUUGUCUCGGACGUGAUGCCUAUAUGUAUGAUCAUUGUCUUAGAUAUCGUCAUGACUUUGCGCGGUUCUAUCAAUUGCUCGACAGUAAUUUGUUCACCCACCGUAAUAUUUGCUACUUUGAGAGAAGCCUCUAGUGAACACUAUGGCCCCCGGGUCUACUUCACAUCAUAUUUUCAGCCUUUCACUUUUACUUCGUUGCACUUUCCGCCUUCAGUUCUCACUUUGCAAUCAAUCUUGAAGGGAUUGAUAACCCCUUUAUAGCGUUGGGUGCAAGCUCGUUUGUGUUUGCGCAGGUACUCUGGACACUUGGCUUGAUUAUCCUACUGGAUUGAUACCUUGGUUCUCAAACCGAGGGAAAUACUUACUGCUCGUGUGCUGUAUCACCCUUUCCUCUUCAAGGGGAAACCAAUGCAAGCUCAAGAUGCAGCAGAAGGAUUUCUGGCGCCGUUGCCGGGGACUUAUGGCGCCGUAGCAGCGGCCAACUCCAGUUCCAUGCUGGCGCGCUGCGCCGCGAGCAUGCCCAAGUUUAGGUUGCGAUACCAGGACUUGGCAAGGCGAAGCACCAUAUAUGCCCCAGCUUGUGCAGCUGACGCACACGAGGCGUCCAGCUGGGAAGUUCCUACCUCGAGCCAUCAGGACAGCCGGCUCAUUGACGCUGGCUCCACCGUGUCCGGCCAAAGGGCAUUCACCAUCGCCAACCCGGACUCCUGGAGCGAGGUCAGGGACUGCAACAGCUCCCACAUAUGGGCCCUGGCGGCAAGGGCCACCUCCUCCGCGGUCUAGCCGGCACUAAUAUUCACCAUGGCGCCGGCGGCACGUCGUUCUUUGCGAUGAGCCUCUACAGCCGUGUCCACCGCAUCUCAAUUCCCUAGAAAGAGAUGGUGGGGGGCAAUGGCGGGGUCAUGGCGUAAAGAAGGAGAAAAAAGAAUUCAACAAUAAAAAGACAAGAUGAGGCAGGGACGACUCACGGUUGAGAAGGAUGUCGACUUCGCCCGCCUCCUCCUCAACCUCGCGGUCCUGGACCGCACACUCCUAAGCCUGGCGAGCGAGCUUGUUCCCCAGGGCCUGUGUCGCCUUAACUUCCUUCGCCAGUUGAGCUUUCAUGUCCUUCAUGGCGGCGUCCUGCUGCGCCUUUUCGUCAAGGCGCAGCUUCUCCAAACGUUCAAGCUCGAUGGCUUGGGAGGCAUCCUUCCGCAACAUGUUGUCGUUGUGUCCGACGCGCAGCCGCUCCAGCUCCGUUUGAUGGGCCGCCUCGUGGUCCUUCUUCUCCAUCUGGAGAAGCUCUACUUCCUGACGUAGCCGGCCGCCCUCACCGCGCAAGGCGUCGCGCUCCGUGACGGCUCGGUCGAGCCGGCCUUGAAGGUCGCCUGUUUGUUCUAUGUAAUGAUCAUUGGCAUGAAUAAACAUUGCAUAACUAUGCGCUUUUAUACCAAUUUACCAACAAUAAUUUGUUUACCACCGUAUGCUUUUCUACCAAUUUAACAACAGUAAUAUGUUCACCCACCGUAUGUUUCCUACGGGAGACAAGCCUCUAGCGAAAACUAUCGCCCCGGGGUCUAUUCACAAAUAUAUUUACAAAAAUACUAAAUACUUCUUUGAAUUUUAUUAUUUGUAUUUAUUUUUUAUAUUUAAUAUAUUUUAGCUAUCUAUAUAUCACUACUUACCGUUUGCAAGUAACUAGUUCAAGGCGAUUGACAACCCUCUUGCUCGCGUUGGGUGCAAUUGUUUGCUAUUUUGUGUGUAGGCGCUGAACACAGGAAAAUGUGUCGUUCUUCUAUUGGUUUAAUAACCUUGGUUCUCACUGAGGAAAUACUUAUCUAUUCUCUGCUUCAUCAACUCCUCUUUGGGGAUAAAUCCAACGCAGAUCACAAUUAUCACGCGUGCGUUCCCACCCAACAUCGGCGGCCCACAUUCAUACCGAUGUAGAGCGGUCGCUCCGCAUUGAAGCCAUCCCGGAGCGGAUGUGGCAUCUCACUAGCACCGACGUUGAAGCGGUGCAUCGACCGACAGUGCCGCCCAUUGCACACCCGUGUGAGCAUGCCUCUUCGCUGCACUCAAACGCCUCUAUUAAACCCGCAUGUGUGCCAAGAAACCUAUUAUAGUAACAUGUCCAUUUGCGAGAUAGUCGGCCUUAAACACAACACCGGGAAAGCUCCCUGCGCCCGCCUGCUAUAUAAAGGAGGCCAGACGCUGGUAAAGGAUCGCACCACUCCUCCACUCCACAUCUCCCCCUUCCACCAUUUUCCCCCCCUUUCCAUGGCAUCCGACGAGUAGGAAGAGCAGUUGUCCAGUAUAAAAGUUGGUUGGGUGGCUCGCUGAGCCCUCUAGAUACGAACUAGGCAACUUGCUGCUCCUCCUCCCUCGCCGAGCUCGACAAAGAAAGUGGCCGCACCAAGCCGGCGCCUAGUUCAACAACUCUCUAUUCCAAGCCAGCUCACAGAGGAGUAGAGAGUUGCUCCAGACCGGCAUGGUGGAACUGACAUCAUGGCUGCCAUGGACGAGGCCAGGCGCCAAGCCAUCCAGCGUCGACUUUCGCGGAACCGCGUCGUGCUUGUGGACAAAGAAACUAGCUUGGAGAUUGACAAGGCUGCGGGGUUCGUGGGAGUUACCCGCAACUCUCAUACCAGUCGUGCAUGGCAAAAUUUUAGUCAUCGACUUGACUCAUUCCCGUAACCCACGGUGCCGCGCGGCGCAACGCGGCGCGGCGUGGCGAGGAGAGGCGGGCGACGGAGGAGCGCGCGUGUAUGUCUCUCUUGUUCUCAUGCUCAUACAUGUGUGAAACAUCAUCCCUUAUAAGGAGGUCCAACUCCUACCAAACUAGCAACGUGGGACUAAACUUUAGUUCCACCUCUUUCCUUGCACGAAUGGGAUAAGUGGGCCUCUAGGAUUUAUUGGAAAUUCUGAAGAAGAUCAUUGGGCUAGCCCAAAAUUAUUAAAUUCCAGCAAUCCCCCACCAGAUCCUAGAGGCACAAAAAAAUUGCCUUUGGUUCCAAAACACUGUUUAUAUACCGGUACUGCACAGGAGACUAUUAAGUUUAACUUCCACCUAGAACUAUAUGUUAUACUAGUAAGCAACUUGAAUAGUGGACUAUGCCUUGAACUGCAAGUUUUCUGUGAAUCUAGUUUCACAUAGAGCCUUGACUGAUACUAGGCUACCGUUGGUGGAGCUUAUGCGUCAUACUCCGAGGACUUUCAUAAGUUUACUAGAGAGCACCCUACUCUCAUAGAUUGCGAUGUUAACAAUCAGACUCAUGUAGGUGUGUUCUUCAAAAGAGUUCUGUAGGACAACAUCUCUGCUUCAACAAGACAUUUAGAACAUAUAAAGAUAUAUAUCAACCUUCCAUGCAUAUUAGGAAAGUAUUGCAUCUUCAUGGAGUGGUAUUAUCAAUGGUAAGGAUACUUUCCUCUCACUUGACCAACAACUUGUCUUCCACAUCUAAUUCACGGGAUCUCCGGUCACAUUGAAUAGUUUAGCACCGUGAACAACUCAUAUUGUGGGUCUCAUACCCAUCCCCUUCGAUGCAUUAUAUAUCACAUUACAAGAUAGACCCUUAGUAAAAGGAUAUGCCAAAUUUUUAGAUGUUUGGAUAUAAUCCAAUGAAAUAACUCCGGAGUUUCUCAUUUUCCUCACAGAGUUUAACCUUCACUGAACAUGUCUUGAUGACUUCAUGUUAUCCUAUGAACUACUCACUUUUGCACUUACAGUUUGAUUGUUGUGGUUCAUAAGAACACCUGGUGCAGGUUUCUCAACAAACUAUAAGUCAUUCAAGAGCCGACGAAGCCAAUCUUCUUCGCCAUAGCUGUAUCUAGUGUUGUGAGUUCUGCUUCCAUUGUUGACCUCGUUAAGAUUGUUUGCUUGCAAGACUUCCAAGAAACAGCGCCACCACCAUGAGUAAAUACAUAUCCGCUCGUGGCCUUUAUCUCAUCAGCAUGAGAGAUCCAGUUUGAGUCACUAUACCCUUCAAGUACCUUUGGGUACCGAGUGUAUUGAAUUCCAUAACUCGUAGUGCCCUUCAAAUAGCGCAUAACUCUUUCUAGAGCUUUCCAAUGAUCAUCUCCUGGUUUUGAGACAAACCGGCUCAGCUUGCUAGCAGCAAAAGAGAUGUCACGUCUCGUAGCGCUUGCUAAAUACAUGAGCGAGCCAAUUAUUUGGGAUUAUUUCAAUUGAUCUCUAGCAAUUAUUCGAUUCUUUCGAAGCAACACGCUAGCAUCAUAAGGUGUUGGAGAAGGCUUGCAGUUAGUAUAACCAAAGUGACUCAAGAGAUUUUCCACAUAGUGAGAAUGAAGCAAAGUAAUCGCACCGUCAUCACUUCUCAGCAGCUUGAUAUUCAGAAUAACAUUAGCUAAUCCUAAAUCCUUUAUCUCGAAACAACGAGAUAGGAAAUCCUUGACUUCCUUAAUAACAUUCAUAUUUGUUCCGAAAAUCAAUAUGUCUUCAACAUAUAAGCAGAGGAUAACUCCCUCGCCCCCACCAUGGCGAUAGUACACACAUUUGUCAGCUUCGUUUACAACAAAGCCUACACCUAUUAAAGUUCUUUCAAACUUCUCAUGCCACUUCUUAGGUGCUUGCUUAAGUCCAUACAAUGACUUCAAAAAUUUGCACACUUUUCCCUCAUGACCGUCCAUUAUAAAUCCAUAUGGUUGUUCCAUAUAAAUUUCCUCGUCCAACUCUCCAUUUAGGGAAGCAGUCUUAACUUCCAUUUGGUGGACGAGAAUACCAUGUGAAGCUCCUAGUGAAAGAAGUACUAGAAUAGUGGUCAGUCGAGCCAUAGGUGAGUAAGUGUCAAAGAAGUCUUCACCUUCCUUUUGGGUAUAACCUUUGGCCACGAGUCAUGCCUUGUACUUCUCAAUAGUACUAUCAGGCCUAAGAUUCUUCUUGAAUACCCAUUUGCAGCCUAUAGGUUUGCACACAUAGGGACAAUCAGUUAUCUCACAAGUUUCAUUUGCGAGGAUGGAAUCCAUCUCACUACAAACCGCUUCCUUCUAGUAGUCAGCAUCUUCAGAUACAUAAGCCUCUGAAAUAGAACUGGGAGUGUCUUUUAUGAGAUAUACAAGAAAAUCAUCACCAAAGGACUUUGUAGUCCUUUGACUCUUGCUCCUUUUAGGAUUCUCCUUGUUGUUCUCCACAGGAUCUUCAAGAUGUUGUGUUGCAAUAGUCGGUUCAGAAGGUGCACCUACAUCUUGACUCGAUAAGCUAGGCAUCUCCUGAUUUGAUGCGCUAGCCAUAUCCUUAAUGGGAAAUAUAUCUUCAAAGAAGGUCACAUCAUUCCACUCCAUGAUUGUGCCAACAUGCAUGUCAGAUACCUCAUAUUUUAUAAUCAAGAAUCUACAACCAAUGCUAUGAAAAUAUACCCCAGGAAAACAUAAUCCACAGUUUUUGGCCCAAGCUUUCGCUUCUUUGGAAUUGGUAUAUUGACUUUUGCCAAGCAGCCCGAAGUUCAUAGGUAAGAGAGUUUUAACCUUUUCUUCUCCCAUUCCUCAAAUGGAGUUAUCUCUUUGUUCUUUGUGGGAACUCGGUUUAGGACAUGACAUGCAGUCAAAAUCGCAUCCCCCACCAUGCCUUGGAGAGACCUGAUAUGACUAAAAUGGCGUUAACAAAAUCAGUUGGAGUGUGGUUCUUCAUUUCAGCUACCCCAUCUGACUGAGGUGAAUAGGGAGGCGUUCUCUCAUGGAUUAUACCAUGUUCGGCACAAAAAGAAUCAAAUUCAUUGAAAAAAUACUCUCCACCAUGAUCAGACCUAAGCCUCUUAAUUUUCUGAUCAAGUUUGUUUUCCACUUUAGCUUUAUAGAUCUUGAAGAAAUUCAAAGCCUCAUCUUUAGAUUUUAAAAGAUACAGAUGGUACCAUCUAGUGGAGUCAUCGAUUAAUGUCAUAAAAUAUGACUUUCCACCUUUCGUCAAAAACACUGUUCAUUUCACAAAGAUCUGAAUGUAUGAGUUGUAGUGGCGCAAGAUUUCUUGUUUCUGCAGUUGCAUGAGACUUACGAGGUUGCUUAGCUUGCACACAAACUUGACCCUUAGAUCCCUUGAUAGAAGUGAAGUUCAGGAUCAAGUUCAACUUGACUAGCCGCGUCAUAGAACCAAAAUUAACAUGACAAAGACGUGAAUGAAAGACAUUUGAUUCUCUAUUAUUGCAAACGUGAUUAAACCCUUUAUUACAAAACAUCUAAUAAAGAUAGUCUGAACAAGCCUCCUGACUCAUAACCUUUACCAAGAAAAGUUCCAUACUUGGAUAUAAAAUUUAUUGGACUGAAAGACAAACUUGUAGCCAUCUCAACAUAGAGGAGAUCCACUAACAAGAUUUUUAUUAUCGGAGGGUACAUAAUGCAUGUUCUUCAGCCGCAUUAUUUUUCCUGAAGUAAACUUCAGAUCGACCGUGCCAACACCACGAACAUAAGCACUUGAACCGUUUCCCGCCAGGAUGGAGGUAGUCCCUGCGGCCUGAUAUGAAGAAAACAUAGAAAUAUCACCGCAUAUAUGCACAUUAACACCCGUAUCAAUCAACCAAUCAGGAGAACGACAUAGUGAGAGAAUAGUGGGAAGUAUACCAUACCCAACAUCCUGCAUCUCAGCAUCACCAAUGAUAACAUUAGCAAUCUUGUCGCCUUUCCCAUGUUGACGCUUUUCAUAACGGUUAGGGCAACUAGGUGCCCAAUGAUGAGGAUCUCCGCAAACAUGACAAACACCUUUCUUUUUGUCAGUCUUCUUCUUGAGUGUGCUGUGAAGCCUUGUUCUUCCCAUCAAACUUUCCCUUACCAUCAAAUUUGCCCUUGUUAUUGAACUUGUGGGGUUGGAAGUUUUUCUUCUGCACCAGAUUGGCACUAGAACCUCCUUCCAUACCUCAAGCAUGUAUGUCUUGCCUUUUCUUCCACAUCAAGAUUACCAAUGAGAUCCGGAACGGAAAACUCCUUCCUCUUAUGAGUGGGAGAGGUAGCAAAGUUCCUCCAUGAAGGAGGAAGCUUAGUAAUAAUACCUCCGGCAACAAACUUCACCGGUAACAUACAAUUGAAGUUCUCAAGUUCUCCAGCAAAUGAUUGUAUCUCGUGAGCUUGUUCAACCACAGAACGCUCAUCAGUCAUCUUUAUUCAUAGAAUUGUUCCAUGAUAUACAGCUUAGUGCCAGCAUUCGAGACUCCAAACUUGGCCUCGAGCACGCUCCACAUAUCUUUCCAUUGUCAAUUGACGCAUAAGCAUCAACAAUGUUCUCACCAAGAAUACUCAAGAGAGCAUCCUUAAACAAGGUAUCAAUUUUCUGAAAAGCGAAUUCCUGUUGAGGAUCAAGAAUUCCUUCAGGUUUGCCAAGAGUGGCAUCGUAGCAGCUCAUGGUUUGAAACCAUAGAACAUCCCUUACACACCAUCUCUUAUAGUGCACACCCUCGAACAUAGGAGGCCUCAUGGAAGCAGCAAAACCACUCGGGGUAAAUUUCCUAAAAUAAGGUCUUCGGAUUGUUGGAAAUAUGAGCGAUUUACCAAGUGAUUUUACUAGCAGAAAUAGUAGAUGAAUCAUGACUACCAUAGCAAUUAUAAGACAAGCCAGUCGAUUAUACACAGAGUAUGCAAGUAGCAUAUGAAGUGAUGAGCAGGAACGAAACAUAUCUAGAAAAGAAACUAUAACAAGAAGUUGUGGCAGGAACUCAAACAAGAAGAACACGAGAACAUACUGAGUUGGAGCAGCAGCUAUAGUGGGAUUUGCGUUGACGUCGUCAUUGGCCAUGUUGCCGAAGAGGCUGUCGAUGUCGGGGAAGAAGUCGUCAUCCGGGAAGUAGUCGUCAGCGUUCGUGAUGGAAAAGCCAGUAGUCGCAUUGAGCGCUCCCCAAAAACCUUAUCGCCCUUCUCCAGUACAUGACUCAAAGAGACGGGGUUUCGGAGGCCUACUGUUCCGACCUGCGGUGCACGUCGCAAGCCGGGGCGGGGAAAAGCUAGCAGUAGCUCAGAGAUUGGAACUCGUUGGCAUGAGGAAGAUGGUAUUCUCGUGUGUCUCUCUGGAGAGGAGCGACCUGUCUUUUAUAGGCCCAUGAGAAGGAGGCAGGCACGCAACAUCGGGAGGCGAAGCAAAAGAGAUUGCAGUCAGGUUGAUAAUAGUCGAGUGACAUUACUUCGUCGGUCCAAACUAAGGAAUCUGUUAUAAAUGUUUUGAAAUAGAUAUUGUUCUCUCUUUGAUCAGGGAUUGCUAUAUGAAAAUAAGUGGAGUUUGAAAAAGGGAACGAAAUGCUCAAACCGGAACUGCUAGAGGAACGAAUUUUCAAUAGCAUAACUUGGGCUCCUAGAAUAUGGUGCCCUUGAGACAAUCUAUUUGAUUGCAGGGUUUUGUUCUGAAGCAAAGAUAUCCGCAGAGGACGGUUCGUUCGUCCUAUUCUGAUAUUCAGGACCAAGAGGUACUGCAUUCUCUGGCUGAAAUGCCAACGGAACUCUGUCUAUUCUCUAAUUCACCCGAUCCGAUAGUACCUGUUUUUGGAACGUCCAGUGCCAAAGUCAUUGAAUGGGUAAGUCACGAAUCCAAUCCCUUUGACAAAUCGGAUGUCAUAUUAUAUAUCAUAUCCUAUAUAUAUAUAUAGAAAUAUCAUAGAUACCCCGUUUCGUGACGAGGCGAGACGGGCGGCGGAGGAGGAGGAGCGUGCGUGUAUGUCUCUCUUGUUCUCAUGCUCAUACAUGUGUGGAAACAUCCUUUCUUAUAAGGAGGUCCAACUCCUACCAAACUAGCAAUGUGGGACUAAACUUUAGUCCCUCCUCUUGCCUUGCACGAGUGGGCUAAGUGGGCCUCUAGGAUUUAUUAGAAAUUCUGAAAAAGGUCAUUGGGCUGGCCCAAAAUUAUAAAAUUCUAGCACAUAAUUGGGGGGGGGGGUAUACCUCUGGGGCUCCCGAUAGUCCGAUGAGCAGGCUGCCGGACAUGAGGCAGACAAAGGGAUCCGCAGCGCUCGGCCAUAGAUUAGUGUAGGGUAUCCAUGUCGUUAGAAUGGAGCUCCACGCGACCAGACGUGCACAUAGUUUUACCUAUUUUAGUUCAAAUAUGUCCAAAAUGCAAUGAAUUUAGUCCGGUUUAUAUGAAAUCCGUUGUGUUUGCAUGAGUUUCAUCUGCUUUGUUGGAAAAGUGUUUGAAAUAUACUUCCUCCGUUCCAAAAUAUAAGACCUUUUAGGAAUUUCACUAUAAGACUACACACGGAGCAAAAUGAGUGAAUCUAUACUCUAAAAUAUGUCUAUGUACAUCCGUAUGUAGUUUAUAGUGCAAUCUCUAAAAGGUCUUAUAUUUAGGAACGGAGGGAGUAUGUGAGUAACGAUGGAUGACCGACAACACUCGAGAAUAUCAUUUUUGGUGGUGCUCCUCAGGUGCCGAGUCAUCACUUUCAAGGUGAAAACCUAAGGUCUAACUUUCGUUUUGUGCCUUAUAUUAGAGUAUUUAACCAAAAACCACCAUAAUUCAUGGAAACGUGCCUAGAAACUACUACUAUACGUUUUUGUGCCGAAAGCUACCAUUUUUAUCCUAAUCAGUGGCAAAAAACUACCAAGUGUGAAUAUUGCUCCAUUAGCCUCUUUGAAAUGCCUUUUAUCCUAAUCCGUUAACUACUCCAUUAACCUACCUGGCGCAGCCCCGCCGCCGUCGCCAUGGCCUCGCCCAAAGCGGCGGCCGCCCCGUGCCUCGCCGUCGGCAGGCCUCCUUGUCGCCGACCACGUCGCCGUCGGAUCCCGGCGUCCUGCGAACCGCCCCACGCUGCCAGUCUCCAUGCCCUCGCACCGAGCGGCGGCCGCCCCGCGCCUCGCGGCCGAAGGCCUCCCGUCGUGGACCCUGCCGUGGUUGGAUCCCACCGCCUCGCCUCCCUGGCGCAGCCUCGUUGCCCCGUGAACCGCCCCGCGCCGUCCAUCGCCAUGGCCUCGCCUCGAGCGGUCGUCGCCAGCGUCUCGCCGUCACCAGAUCCGGCAGGCGUCGCCCUGGUUCCGCCUCUCCCGGACCUCCCCGCCGCCCUGCUCAUGCCGGAGUGCUGCGUGUAGAUCGCGUCGUCUCCUCCAGAUCCGGUCGCACCGCCGCCGUACUUCAUCUUCUCCACCUCCGGUGAAGGCCGCCGCCGUCUCGAUCUCUUUCUCCGGUGACGGCAAACUUAACGGUGCUGACUUUUCCGUCCUGACAUGUGGGCCAACCCUGUCAUAAUGAGUUUAAACGAGCCAAAUGAGGCGUUUUGCAGACUUGAUUGUUUUUAGUCACAGAUUAGCAAAAAAAAAUUGAUAGUUUUUGGCGCAAAAACGAAUUGUGAUAGUUCCUGGGCACGUUGGCGUGAAUUGUAGUAGUUUUUGAUUAAAUACUCCUCAUAUUACCUUGAUGAAGGUAUUGUUUCGAGAGCUCGGUCUUUUUAAGGGAGAAAACCUAAGAUCUUGGAUCGGACGACGAUGACGCUUGUGCACCGAUUUUUUUUUAAAGGCAUCAUUUUUUAGGAUGGUUUGAGUGUCGCUGCUGCUGAGAAGAGUUGUUCACUGUGACGAGUAGUUGAAAAUGCUCUUACUAUUACAUUUUUCUUUCAAACACGUUACAGUUUACUCCCACCUCAAGUAGUUCCGAGCUACUGUACGUAGUAGCCACACACAUGGAGCGACUCACUCACCUCCAACCAAUUUAACUUUCGUGAAUCUUUGAUCGCUUUUCAUUUGGCCCAGCUCGACGUCACGCGGAUGUCCCCGAUGGAUCUCGCCGGCCACACGCCCCUCGACGACGACGAGAUGAGCAGCGUGUGAUCCUCGUCGCCCCGUCCAUCCAACCGAAGAUAAGACGCCCACUCCCUCCCCUCCACAUGGCACCCACCCUCCAAUCCCUUACUUAUUCCCGCCCCCCUCACUCCUCCAUCCCCUAGCUCCACCUCUCAUCCGCUCCUCAGCCACACCUAGAGCAUCUUAGCUCCAGCUAGCCACCAAUGGCCGCCGCACUGAGCCUCCGCGCGCCCUUCUCCGUGCGCGCUGUGGCGCCACCGGCGCCCCGCGUGGCCCUUGCGCCCGCGGCCCUCAGCCUCGCCGCCGCCAAGCAGGUGCGGGGAGCCAGGCUCCGCGCGCAGGCGACGUACAAGGUGAAGCUGGUGACGCCCGAGGGCGAGGUGGAGCUGGAGGUCCCCGACGACGUCUACAUCCUGGACCAGGCCGAGGAGGAGGGCAUCGACCUGCCCUACUCCUGCCGCGCCGGCUCCUGCUCCUCCUGCGCCGGCAAGUUGGUGUCCGGCGAGAUCGACCAGUCCGACCAGAGCUUCCUCGACGACGACCAGAUGGAGGCAGGGUGGGUGCUCACCUGCCACGCCUACCCCAAGUCCGACAUCGUCAUCGAGACCCACAAGGAGGAGGAGCUCACCGCAUAAGCUGCUUACCCUGCCUCUCUUUGCAACAAGAUCGAGCUGAUAUCAUAUUAUCUCCCAUCAUGCAUGCAUGCAUGGAUAUCGCCAGAUACACCGAUUUGUUUGUGCUCGAAUGAAUUGCUCGAUGCAUGGUUUGCUCCAGUAAUAAUGUCUUCGAAUUACUACCUUUUUGUACCGUAAGAUAUACUACUGUCGUAAUACUAGCGUGUACUUAAUUCAACGUACUGAAAUGAAUCCUGAU
rnacentral:lncRNA from 1 species